rnacentral:lncRNA from 1 species
AAAAUUCUCACCUGGAAAUGAUCUCCACCCUUUAUUCAUUGACGUGGCGCAGCAUCCAUGGUGGCAUGAGGGUAUUGGGACUAGGUCGAGCUUCAGCUCCGUCUUCCUCUACAGCUCUCCCCACAAAACUACCACUGCAUCAUUUACCUCCAUAUUUAUUAUGUGCCCAACCCAAAUGAUCUACAGCCUCUGCAGCUUUCUACUCUCAACGUAAUGUGCAAAACUCCAACAAAAAGACUUAUUUUUAAUUUGUUUUCAUUCAUUUCUUUGUUUAUUAAUUAUAGAGGAGAAUGUGUUCCUAAUUUACCAUGUGAAAGGAUGUGUUGGCUUCCACUUCUCCCCUCUUACUAUCUAUGUCAGCCUUCAGUCUAAUCCAGCCUUAACUGGCUUCUCUACACUAUGUUUAUUGGCUUUUCCACAUGAGAAAGAGAAAGAGAGAGAAAGAAGAUAUACCCAAUGGUGAGUGAAGGGAGCUGUAGUGGGGGUGGUGGCACCACAUAGGCAGAUGAGUUUUGGCCUAUGUUGUUUUGCUGCUCCCAUUGUGCACGAUUAUUCUGUUCGACCUUCUCCUUCUCCUUCACCUAUUUUCACGUCACAACAUUUUAUAACCUUGGAUGUUAUUAAUAAUCUAACUAGUACUUCUUGUGAGUAAUUUUGAAAAACCAUGAGCAGUAUCCAUAAUAAUAUAUAGUCAUAAACAGCCUUUUACCUUCUUUGCUAAUGCGUUGUUUUGCUCCACCAGUGAUUUCUCCUGCGACAUUCUACAGUGUGAGAUCACAUGCACAACAGUCUUCUAUGGGACUGGAUAGAAAGUUACGUUUUCUUUUGUUACAGGAACAGAAAAUUAAGGUGAUGUUUGAUUUCAGAAAAUUUGGGAAAAAAAUGAAGUGAAAGAAAAUGAAGAGGAAAAAUGGAAAAAAAGAAAAUAUGAAAAAAAAUAAAAUAAAUUUAAAGUCAAUAAAUUAUAUAUAUUUCUUUUAAAUAUAAAGAUUAAAUAAUUUAAAAAUUUAUAAACUUUUAAGUCAUUUUAAUUACAUUUAAUUUUCUUUUAUAUUUCUGAUGGAGAAAGUUAUUUUCCUUUAACAUAUUCUUUCUUGUUAACAGUUUCCGAAAACCAAGCGUAAUGGAAACGGAGCUUUUCGCCUCAGCCUUGGGGAGGUAAGAAUUUCCAUCACAAGAACUAGAGAUUAGAUGAAUUAUCCUUCCCUACAUCAUCCCCUAGCUGCUAUUACCAUUUCUAUGAACAUUGAAAUAAUGCGUGAAUGAAAAUAGACCCAGAAAAAUAAGUGCCAAUUUUUUUGCUAGGCAUAGAGGGUAGGAUUAAGGCAUUCUGGUGACUCAACCCUAGGGCCUAGGUUAUGCCCAUAUUUUUAACCCUAUCUAGUGGCUUUCUCAACAUUCUUGAAGGGUUAAGGGAAAUACAAGGUUAAAUUAUGGUAAUUAGGGAGUACUUCCACCUACCAUUAACUCUCAGGUUAAACCUAGCUAGAAGUCAAUCUUCAUCAAAUUUAAUGUAGGGCAACGUAAAUUUUAUUUAAGGAUCCCAAAAACACCUGCAUGCAUGCAGAUCUUAAUUACCUUCUUCUGAAGCUCCGAAAUCGAUUCAUGCAUAAGCUGGUUCUGCAAAUGGGAAAAUAGGUAUAAGUUAACAAUUGCCAUCCAAUAAAACAUUGACAAAAAAACAAGUUCAUGUCUACCUUUCUUGUUCUGAUGCGCUUAAGAGCUGUAUCAAGCUGUUGCUCCAAAUUUUGUAGCUCUCUCAGACUUAAGGGAUCCAGAUCUUCUCCCACAAAGUGCCUAAAAAUAUAUAUAUAUAUAUAUUGAUGUCAAAAUUUCCAUAUCUGCCUUCCACUAAUUUAUUCUUUAAGGGGAACAGCUUUGCUCUUAUCAUUUAGGCAUGCACCACAUGGGACCUCACAUUUGACGGAUUCCUUCGGACAAAUUGUUGUGCAAAAAAUUAGCAGAACUUAAUGAGUUUUGAUUAUUUUGUUUCCAUGUUUUCUCAAACAUUGUUCAAAGUGGUCGCACUAUUCAAAGAAAUCGACUUUUUGAGCAAAACAAAUGGCUAAAAAUCAACACAAGAAUGCUAUUUUUUUGCACAUGGCUCAUGACCCAAUUCUUAAAACAAAGCGUCCAUGUGGCCAAAAGGUUUCAUCACUAAGCUAAUUAAGCUGUGUUCUGACUUCUGUAAACUAGCAAUUGAUGAUCAGAUUAGUACCUCAGGUUCCUUUGUAAAACUUCAAUCCUAGCAGUGAGUUUAGGGUAAUCCAUCGACCAGUUUCCCUGUGCAGGAUCCAGAAAAGAAAACGGGUUACCGAGUUGAUGAUAUCCGUUUUUCUUUUUAGGUAGCUGCUAAUGAUAAACACUGGAUGGAAAUAUUGAACCUGAAGUGAAGACAGUUAUAUAUUUCCCAGCAUAAAGAGAAAAUGAGAAGAACAACUAACCAUGCAAACUUACAUGCAUGGUUUAAGAUAGGUAUACUGUGUGGAGUGUCUAUAUAUAUAGGUAAAUACUAUUCAGCAGAAUUUUCAAUAUGAAGAAUUGAAACUAUACUAAAACCCUGAUCAACAAGGACUUGACUUUGGACUUGAACUCCUAUGCAUAGAACCCUAUUCACUAUCAUUCAGACCCACAAAACCUAAAACACAGAUUUCACUAGAGGUAAAGAAAAAACCAUAGUUAGGCACUAGGAGAGGCAAUGAAUACAGUUCAACCCUGCUGACCAUUUGCUAUAUCUAGAAUACAAAGUACCUUCUUUUACAUUUUAAUACUUUCUUCUAGCUGGGUUGGCUGUAAGUCAAGUACCUGUGGGUCAGGAUCUGUUGAGAGAAGCUGUCUCUCCGAAAGUGAAUAUCUUUCAUAUCGUUCAAGGAUCCUUUCCAUGCUGUUGAAAAAGCAAAAGUUGAUUUUAAGCAUCAGUGAGGUCUCACAUGCAUGAAUUAAGAAUUUGUAAAAGAAACUAAUAUGAAUAGAGGUCAACACAUCACUCCCAGUCCCAACUCAAGAAAGCAAAGGAAACCUGUAAAAUAAAUAUGCAGUUUUCUCAUAUAUACUGAAUAUCAGCCGAAAAAAAAAAAAAAAAAAAAACCAUCAUUAUAAACAUGGCUAUAUCAAGUGGGCAUAUGUUUAUCAAAAUGUCAUCCUAAAAAAUUGAGAGCCCUACAUAAAGUGGGUAACAGAUGUAGAACUAGAGAUGGGUUGCUCCAGUGGAGUUAUUUAAGACAUUGGUACAUUAUUAGCCAAAGAGUUGGGAAUUGAUCCGACACUUUGCCAACUCCUAUCACAUAUUCACAGGCCAUCAGAUCUUAGUUGUUGUACACAGAAAUUUUGUGCUCUCCGAAAUCAAAGAAAAUAUAACCGAUAAAUUUAUAUUAAUAAAGAUGCAAAUACAAUGUUAUGUUGUAUUCUUUAAACUAAAGAAUAUGUAAUCUUUUGAUUUAACCAACUCAUCAACUCAUUUUGAUUAAAGGGUGCAACCACAUGUUCUUGAGUCGAAGUGCAGUCGAAGGCCAAUUAGACUUGAUCUUAACUUUGUUGUAAAUUUGGUCAUGAGGAAUACUAGAUUGUUUGUGCUUUGAUUUUUUGAUUUCUUCCACAUGAUUAUAAGGCUUGUUGAAGACCAAAUGCAAACAUCGACUUCUUCACUUGUGUUUUCCCCUCUCUAAAACAAAAGAAACCUCCUGUAGUGGGUAAAAACAUUUGUAUAUGAAUUGUUUCUUUGAUAUUUGAGAAUAUUUUAGGGCUUUUUCUAGAUAUUUACACAUUGCCUAAAAGAUGCAUCUUGAUAUGAUUUGAGGAUAUCAAAAUUUUGGUGUUUAUAAAUGCCCCACAUCACAUCACGUCCUAACUUCAACAUGUCCUUAUUGAAGGUGAGAGUCGAUGGUUUUCUAUAGUUUAAAAUGGGUAAGACUUCAUGUCAAAUAAGCAUGGAAAGAAUAAAAAAAAAAAAAAAAAAAAAACUCUCGUUUAAAGGAGAAAUUCUAUUUUAACUGUAACAAUUCUUGUUAUUUUUUAUAACAAAAUUUAACAUCACUCUACUUUCCCAAAAGUCGUGUUGAUCCCUCUACAUUUUUCUUAUAUAUGGAGACCACUUCUAUUUGAUAGUGGUCAUUUUUUUUUCUUCUUUUUGUAGGGAGGUUUUCUCACCCUCUUUAGGCUUAUAUCAGGGAAAAAAAUAUUUAACUUUCUCCUAGCACUUUUUCCGGGUUCUUUUAUUUAUUUAUUCAUUAAUAUUAUUAUUUUGCAAAAAAAAAAAAGAAAAAAAAACUUUAUUACUAUUACUUUUUUUUUUCUAAUUAUUUAUUAUUCAUUAUUAUUAUUACCACUAUUAUUUUGCAAUCAUUCUCUAGAUACCUAUCACAAAGGUAUGAUAUAAUAUUAAUUGAAUAAUAGAACUUGAUAUCCAUCAGACUGAGACUUUAUUGGAAAUUAAUAGUAAAAUGCUAAAACAUAAGGAUUUAGACGCUACCGAUUCAAAGGCUUUGUCAAGAUGAAUGACAAAGUCUUGAUAUUUCUAUUGGAGAUCGGACUUGAUUUUUGUAGGCUCGCAAUUAAGACUUUAUUGGAGAUCAAAUAUCGAAAAUUAUUGUCAAAGCAAACUAAUCAUGAUCCUUGGGGUGGCGUUAAAAUUUUUGCACUUGAUGCAAAUGAAAUCGCAUCAGUGUUAACUUCGCAUCCAACCAAUUGACAUGAUCUUGAUCUGGAUGCAAAGGGCGCCAAAUUUUGACACUUGAUAAAAAUUAGGGAGCUAAAUUUGACACUGAGCUAACUUGUUACAACUCUUUAACCUAGGGUGAUGUUAUGAUCAUGAGAGUAGUGUUAAAGUUUUUGUUAAGAUAUAGCCUUUGAAAGCUUUCAGUUUUACUUUUAUCCAUCCUAUUCAUGCAUUAUAUUUUCUUAGCAUUUAUGCUCAACAUCUCUUAUAUUGUACAUGACUUGGGUGCAUUAUGGGUUAUAUGAAAGAUUCAAGAUACGAGUUCAUUGUAAGUAAAUAAGUUACUCAUAAAUGAUUCAUAGAUUUAGACAAUCUAUUUGAGACUGUAGUGCACUCAUUACCUUAUAAUUAGAAGAAUGACUUAUAUUGGUCAUUGAGAAGUUCUCAUGGUGAGUGCAAUAAUAUGUAUGAUUGAUUACACAUUACACAUCACCUAUAGUGAGUCAUGACAUUGGUUAUUAGGUAGUUUUGACUUUACCAAAUUAUUAUGUUGUUUGAGCUUUCAAACCUUGAGAGAAUACUAAGUUAAUGUUAAGAUUUUCAAUGACUUUGACCUAUAGGUGAGAUACUAAGGUGGUCAUCUAUUCCCUAUGGAUUAUGGUACUAUUUUUUGAGGCAGGUGUCAAUAAGUAUUCUUAAGAUAGGUACUAUGAUAUCUCAUAGGUUUGAGAUAAUGUAUCCCCUUAGGUGAUUUUAAGGAUACGUGAUCAAGAAAUCUAUGAUCGUAAUAAGUGGAAUUUGAUAUAUAUUUUUGAAGAACUAGAGUAUACUAGUUGAUUAUAUAAUAGGAGGAUUUGAAACUCAAAGAUCAUAAAGGUAAUCUUGAAAGUUUGAUAACAUUCAUUUCUUUAUAUUAAAGACACCAGUUCAUGAGAAGUUUCAUACAAUAGAUAGUAGGUCAUGGGUACAAAUUUAGUAUAUUGUUUUAAUAUUAUAUGAUCUUGAGUUUAGUAACUUGCUCAAGCUCAAAUUUCAUGGUGGCACAUUUUGAGGGAUAUUUGAGUUCUUUAUUCAUAUGUGUGAAUAAGGGCAUUGGUAAAUGCACGAAAUUGCACAAAAGUUUAUAAAUAGUCUUUCUAGAUUAGACUAAUUAAUUAAUUAUAAUCCAAUAGGGAUAAUUAACUAAUUAAAACUUAAUGGGCUAGAUUAAGUGCUUAAGCCCACAAGCAAGCCUAUGUAAAUCCCCUAAGGGGUUUAAGGCUUCUAUCAACUCUGCCAUUCAGUCUUUUAGAGAGAGGAAUCCUAGCCUCCAUCCCCUUCAAAGACUAAUCCAUCUUCCUUGUGUGCCAAGACUUGAAAAGAGAGCCAUUGGGUGGAAGAUCUAUUGGUCUUUGAGAUCCACGACAACUCUUCAUUCAAUGGAAUUGAUAAAGGAACAUCUAGAUUACAUGUAUCAUUCCCAAUCUCUAGAUCUAAAGUUUUAAAAUACUUAUUUGCUUCCAUUGUGAAGAUAUAGAGAAGCCUAGGAUAGAUUUUGCAUGCACUCAUGAGAUCCAAGGCCUAGGAUGGUUUGUGUAACCAAAUAUUCCUACAAUUGCUAUCAAAGCCCUAGGUUAGGCAAAAAAACAUGCUAAAACAAUUCUAUGAUGCGCUUAUCUUUGUUUGGUAGGAUUUUUCUUUUUAUCCCAUAACCUUAAGAGAUGAAUGUUUGGAUAUUUAAAUUUUGAAUGUGGUUCUAGAUGUUUAAUCUUUUGAUUAAAUAGAAUGGGUUGUAAUCUCCAUAAGAAGUAUGAGAUUUUUAUUUAGAAUGUAAAGAUCUAUUUUUUAUUCUUAGAUGGGUUGUAAGUAUUGGAUUUUUCUUCAUUGUAAAAAUCAUUUUUUAAUCCAUCUUUGUAAACAAAGAGAAGAAAGAUCUCACUUUAAGUAUUCAAGGACAUCAAUGGUGGAGAAACAUAUCUACAAACCAUCAAAGAUGCAAUGGCAAUGCUCAAGGGCUCAUCGAGGCCACUAACCGUAUCUAUAAUUAAUUAUAAAAAUUUCAAUUAAGGAGAAGCCUGAAUGAUGGAGACAUGUACUUAGACUCUAGCUUUUCUGAUGUGAGGAUAAUUGUACAUGUCGUGGGUGAUGUUACCUUAGUUUUAAAAAAUAAAUGUCAUCUAGAAUUUAAGGAUUGUUUUAUGUACUCGAGUCUAGAAAGAACCUAUUUCAAUUUCUAGUUUAAAUAAAUGCAAUUAUUUAGUUUAUUUCAAUAAAGACAUCUAUUAGAAAGAAAAUUCAUCUAAUGCCCAUUGGUUGAUAAUUUUUGUUGUAUCACUUCAUCUUACAUUCUACCAUGUGGUGAGAAUAAUCAAAUCUCAUUAAAGAAAAAAAUACCUAACACUAAUCAAACCUUCAUAUGACAUCUUUGCCUAGGUUAUUUAAAUCUAAAUAUUGCAUUCCUUGAUUCUAGAGGAUCUUCUAUUCUAAUGAACAUAGAGUCAAAGAAUGUUUGACGUUAGUACAUAGUGUUGUGUGUGAACCUUUAAUGUCUAUACAAGUGGAGGGUAUGAGUAUUUCAUCACCUUUAUUGAUAAUUACUUUAGGUAUGGUUAUGAUAAUCUUAUGCAUAGUAAAUUUGAUGCCUUGGAUAAAUUCUAAGAAUUUAAUGCACAAUUGGAAAAGCAAUAGGUAAGUGAGUUGCCUUAAGGCACUUCGAUCAUAUCGAGGUGGUGAGUACAUGUUGGGUAGGGGUGGCAAUUCAUGUAAGUGAGUCAUAUUUGUGUUAUGUUGAAACCUAGGUAUUCUACUACAUAGGUCAACCCAAACUUGAUACAAAUAAUAAUUGUGUUAAAAAUAUAAACUUAAACACUAUAUAAUUAUUAAACAUGUAACAUGUAGUGUAACCUAUUUAACCUAUUUAAUAAUUAGGUCAUCAUAUUUAAUAAUAAGGUUGAGUGAGGUAUUGUAUAAGUCUAUAUGAUUAAUGUUAUAACCAAACAUGUUUAUGACCUAAUUAACUUAUUUAUUUAAAAACAAAUUUAAAAUCAAUCAAAUUUGGGUUAAAUAAUUUAAAGUUAUAAUUAAAUUAAUUAUGAUUAUUAAAUGAGUCAAUUCAAGUCACAUUCGUGUUAUGUAGGUUAACCCAAAAUCUACCUAUUUAUUAAAUAGGUUAUGCAAACCUACAAAAAUUUGACCUAAACUCAAGCUGCAAAAAACAUGUUGGGAUCAAGUCAUGUUAGCGAAUCAUAACAAAAGUUGCCACCUCUAACGUCAAAUGUAGGUGGCAAUUCAUGUAAGUGUUGUGUUCGUGUUGUGCCAAACCUCUAGGCAUUCUACAACAUAGGUCAACCCAAACUUGACAUGAAUAAUAAUCGUGUUAAAAAUAUAAUUUCAAAUACUACUUAAUUAUUAAAUAAAUAAAAUGCCGUAUAACUUAUUUAAUAAUUAGGUCAUCCUAUUUAACAAUAAGGUUGAGUGAGGUCUUCCAUAUGUCUAUGUGAUUAAUGUUUCAACCAAACAUAUUUAUGAUUCAAUUAACUUAUUCAUUAAAAAUAAAUUUAAAAUGAGUUAAAUAAUUUAAAAUUACAAUUAAGGUAAUGAACAUAAUUAGUAAAUGAGUCAACUUCGAUCAAAUUUGUGUUAUGCAAGUUGACCAAAAAAUUAUUUAUAUAUUAAAUAGGUUGACACGAAUUUGACUCAAACUCAAUUAUUCUCAACUUCAACCUACGAAAAGCGUGUUAGGUUUGAGUUGUGUUGGCAAAUCAUAUCAUAUUUUGUCACCCUUAAUGUUGGGUAGGUUUGAUUCUUUUCCAAAAGAGCAUGUGAUUAUAUUCUAGUUGCUUGCUCAUGGAACUUUACAACAAAAUGAAGUAGUGGAAAGAAAUCGAUGAUGAGUUCCUCAACACUCCCUCUAUCCUUUUAGGGGCAUGCCUUGAAAACUGCAUGAUACCUUCUUAACCUAGUUCCUUUUAAGCCCAUGCUUUUGACUCCUAUAGAAAUGUAGACAGGUCGUAAAUCUACGUUACACCAUGUUCGCAUAUGUGGAUGUCUAGUAGAUGUGCCGAAACAAAAGGUAGAUAAGUUGGAAUCAAGAUCAAUAGUUAAUCAAUUUGUAAGAUAUCCAACAAGAACAUGGGGUCAUUACUUUUAUAGUCAAGUUAAUUGAAAUAAAAUUAUAUGAUAAGUAAUAAGUUUAGAAGUGAUGUCAAUUGGAGAGCACUUGAGGACACUUCCACAAUAAUAUAGAAUACUAUGGAUCUAGUACCUAUCAUUCCUAAUAGUUCUAGCAUGAGAGUGCCUUGUCAAAGUAGGAAGGCUAUUUCACAAUCAAAUUGAUUCAUAUAUUUAGGUAAGUCUUUUGAGACAAUUCCAAAGGAACAUGAGAUCGAACCCACAUUAGGAUGAAGUAAUGGGCAAAAACCAUUUCCUGAUAAGGGUGAUGCAUGGCUACAGAAUUUUAAGAAGCGAGGUUCUUCUGGUGCUUCAUGAACCAGCAGGAAAGUUAGUAUCAUUUUCCUGCAUUCUCACUAAUGCCCACUACAAGAUUUUGUUGAAUUACACUAGGAAACCAAACAUGCUUGCCAUUUUGAUAUAGGCUAUCAGCACAUUCCCUACAAGCUCAAGUAAUUUGAGAUGAUUUGAGAGCUGGACCGAUCUUAUAAGUUGGUGGGUCCUCAUAAACCAAAGUUUCUAAAGUGCUAGGAUGGAUCCAAUCUUCACGUUAUUAUAGUAAAACCAACUCACGCCAACUUAAUCAGAGUUUUCAGUCAUGGUCUUCCAAAGAGAGAUAUAUAGAGGGAAAUGCAAGGCAAUAUUCACUUCAGACAUGCAAGGCAAACAUCCAGUAGUAAAAUAUAUAAAUAAUAAUAAUAAUUCUCAAGUAACAGUGUUAACAACUUCCAACAUAUCUGCAAUUUUUAUGCACAAUGUUUAGACAAGAUCUCUAUGCACGAAAUAAAGAGAAACUAAAAUCUACUUUUUCCUUCUCCUAUUCUUAUUCUCUUGAAUGACCUGGGGUUAAAAACAAGUUACUGGAUCAUUCUAUGGUUUCUGUUUCUACCCAUAUCAAGUGUAUAGUUGGGGUAAUACAUUGCCCUAGUUGAUAGAUUUUUAAGCACAAAUAUGCAAAAUUACAAAAAAUAAAUAGAACAUAAGCUACAACAUUAGCACAAAAAUUGGAUUUGGAAGAAAGGAAAGGAUCUUAGUUUAUUAUCAAAGAAAAUUCAAGACCAAUUUGUUAGGAUAAAGACUUAGUCAUCCUAUCUAAAAAUGAUUAGUCAAACUAAUGCUUUCCCAAGCAAACCAAAUCCUGGAUCACAUAAAAUCAUAAACAAAGCUGGCUCAGAUAUCAUUUGUUAGGAUUAAAGAUUUAGCUAUUCCAUUUGAAAAUAAUUUUAUAGUCAGUGAGGUCAAACUAAAUCUCUUCAUAUCCUAGUCAUACAUAAUCUCUAGGAUAUUUUGCAAGAUUACAUCAAAUCCUAAGCACACCAAAUCUAGGGUCUAACUUUGUGAGCCAUCAUUUUCCCAAGGAGCAGCAUUAUUGCCAACCUAACACGAUCUUGAAAGGAUAAAACUAAUGAACAUCUAGCUUUUUCUAACAUGGAAUCGGUAGUUUGGUUCUAAGAUUUUUAAGUUGUGACCUCUUUAAGAGCAUUUAUUUAUGAUACCAUUUGUUUAUCUCUCCACAUGUGAGAGGAUGGCUGUUUCGAGCUUCAUAUAUGUUGUUGGAUAAUUUGGUAAGGUUAUGUUUGAUUCCUAGUAUUAAGGAAAAAAAAAAAAUUAAGAAAAAUGAUUUUCUUAUGUUUGAUUGCCCAUAAAAUAUACUAUAAAGAAUCAAAUAUAAUUAAAAUUAAUUAAAAAUUCAUAUAUUAUCAAAUUAUUUAAUCUUUAUAUUGAAUAUGGUUUGAAAUUACAUAUAAAAAUAAUUCAUUAACUUCAAAUUCAUAUUUUAUUUUUCUUUAUUUUUUUUCUUUUUUCCACUUUUCUUCUUUAUUUUCUUUCCCUCGUAUUUUCUCUUAAAUUUUAUGGAAACCAAACAAAACCAAAUUGGUAAUUUAACAUUUUAUAGCUUGCAAACCAACAAGAAUUGCUACUCUAAGGCCAAAAAGAGCAUUGAGGUUUGAAGCAGACUUCUUCAUUUAGAGACAUUUUGAGUGAAAGUUAGCACUUAUAAAAAUAAGUCUAGCAAGUGGGAAUAACUAAUACCUAUGAAAAUAGUGAAUAUUUAAAGUAUAAUGAGUACAUUUUUAAAAUAUUUUUUUGAUAGGUAAUAAGAAAAUAUAUUAACACGUAAGAAACACAUACCGAGGUAUAUAUUAUAUGCAUGAGGAGGCAAAAUAGGGGGGAAAGGAAACAAAAAAUGUGUUUUACCCUCACUUGGAGUUAUAUCAACCAACAAAGUCUAAAAUGGUUGAGGAAUGAGUAUCAAUUUGUGCUCUAAAUCAUUCCAAAAUAAAUGCUCAUAAAAAUGGGUUGGAAUGCUUGGUCUAAUUGUACCACAUCUUUCAAAGAUCUCUUAUUUCUUUCAUUUCAAACAGUUUAAAACACUCACAAAUGGGCCACCUUCCAUGUCUUUUUCCAAUUUUUUUCCUACGAAGGAUUCUUGCAAACCAAGAAGGCUUCCUCUCAUUGAAGCAUGCAACACCUAACCUAUUCCAAACAACAAAAAAUUAAUUACCAUGAAAUGCUUGCGUUAAAGCAAUGAAGGAGGACGUGAUCAAUUGGUUUUUUAUUCUUUAUACACAUGGUACACCUAUUUGGUAUAGCCCAUCGCCUUUUUUUGAGCUGAUCAAUCAUUAAAAUUUUGCUCUAAGCAGCUUUCCAAGUGAAGAAAUCCAUAUUCAUAGGAGCUUAAGAAUUCCAUACAAUACUUGUGGGAAAAGACUCCCUAGCUACUAGUCCGAACUAGAAAGGAAUAAAACGAUUUGAUAGAGAAAAUGAUGCCUUUAGAGUGCAUUAAAAAAUUAUUUAGACCAUAACUUAAUAACAAUGAAUUGCCUUAAUAGAGUAGAAAAUAUAAAAAAAAAACUCAUUGAAUAUUGAAUAAGUAUAAAUCAAAAGAAAUAUAAGUCUUAUAAUAUCAAUUUGGUUCAAAUUUUAUUGAUUAGGGGGGGACAAGGAAACAAAAAACUGACCCAAUUAAGUUAAUUUCAUAAUUGCCAAAUCAAAUUGACCUUCAUGAUUGUAACAUGAUUACCAAAUUGAAACAUCAUUGAUGGUCGUUGAAAACCGAACAAAUUUAAUUGGUUUUAGUUGGAUUUAAAUAGUUUUAUAGAUUUUUCACUAUUCACUCAUACCUAUAAUUACCCUUAACCCAUUUGUUUACUUGGGAACUUGACAAUGGGACAUCGUUGCAAAAGAAAUUAUUAUUUUUGACAAAAAGUAAUAAAGGGUUUCACUUGUAGAACCAAUCUUACCAAAUUUAUGCAAGAUAAUAGGAAUUAGUACUGUUGUGUGAUCCAUCUUAUGAUCUCGAUUUUCUCACAAUGAAGAUGAAAAUAUUGCUAACCAAUGAUUUCGUGCCUCUUAGGGAUUUGAAUCAUUUUUGUAAUAUUGUUUUACAAGUAAUGUGCUUGUUAAAAUAAACAAAAAGUAAUUAUAAAAAAAUUUCAUUCACCCUUCAAUAGUAGUUUUUGAAAACUAUUUUUUUAAAAACAAAAAUAAAAAUAAAUAGAUUUCGAUAAUACAAUGAUUUAUUUCAUUAAGCGUUAACUUUUAUAUCGAAAUAAAUAAACCUAUUUUAAAUUUUAACAUCUAUAUUUCAAGUAUUAUAUACAUUUAUAACAAUUUAAUUUCCAAAUAUUUAAAGUUUAUUUUUAAAACAUAGUUUACCAAAUGUUCAAUUGUUUUUUGUUGCAAUUAAUUUCUUAGAGCAUAGUUAAAAGUAAUUUUCUAACUUAUGUUUGGUUCUUAGAAAGUGCUAAGAAAAAAAAAAGUCAAAAAAAUGAUUUUCUUAUACUUGGUUUUACUAUCAAAAAUGAAAAAAAAAAAAAAUCAAAUAUAACUAGAAUUAUUAAGAAGUUUUGUAUAUUUUUGAAGUAUUUAAAAUUUAUAUAGAAUAGUGAAAUAAGUGAAAAAAAUUUGAAAUAAUAUAUAAAAAUAAUUUAUUGAUUUUAAAUUUUUAUUUUUCUCUUUUUCUUUGCUUAUAUUUUUCCCAUUCUAUUUUUUUGGUUCAAACUUUCCAGAAUCCAGGUUGAGAUGUUAAGGAGUUGCCACUGGAAUGUGGCAGUCCUAUAUAAAAGCCCAAGAAUCGUUUUUAUUUUAUUAUUUUUUAUAUCACUCAACAAAUUUCUCAAACUAAAUGAAAUUGUUACACAAAUGAUUUCAAAGGAGAUUUGAGCACAUUUAAAUCCACAUUUGCUGUCAAAAUGCUAGCCAGAUUGAUAAAAAUCCAACUACUCUUUCCUAAUUCAUUGAACUUUUUGAUAACUUCACAUUCUAUACAAAUUUGAGCUCUUGGAUUUGCAUAUUUCAUUCAUUUGUUUAUGCAAAAUAUGAGAAUUUGCUUAAUAACAUUUUUAAAUAUAUAUAUUUUUUAAAUGUUUAUAUUUUGUAUUUUGUUUAUUGAUAAUUUUAUUUCUUUUCAUUCUAACUUAAGAAUAUUUUGAAAUUUACUCUCCAUUGAAUUUUUUUUUAAAAAAAAAAAAAUCAAUUUUUUAAAUUUAAAAUAUGAAUAUUUCUAAAUUUUUUUAUAAUGCUUACGUUUUUAAAUGAUUUUAAUUAUUUUUUAGACGCAUUAAGAGAUAGUCAACCUAAUUGACCAUAACAUUCUCAAUUUCUCAAAAAAAAAAAAAAAAAAAAGAUUCGAAGUUGUUGGAAGGACUUACAUCCCCUCAAAGAUCGAGAGGAAUCUAUUGAAGUAUUAGGGAUGAUAGGUCUCGUGGAUUAAAGUAUAAGUAUUGGAGAGUAAAUUUUUAGGGUAAAAUAAUUAGGUAAAUUUAUUUAUUUUGAUAUUAUAAUGGAUGGUAAAUCAAAAGUGUUAAACUUCUGAUUUUUUAGUUUCAGUGAGUUUUCUAUAUAAAUAAAUUUUUAUGUCAUUUACAUAUGUGUUUGAUUUUGAUUAGUUUAUUUAUUCUUAAUAUUUCUUAAAAUUUAAUUAAGUUAAAAUAAUUUAACUAUCUUAUUAUAAUCUUUUAAAAUAUACUCAUUCAUCCCUAAUGUUAUUGUAUUAAACAAACGAUUUUUCAACUUCCAUUAAAAAUACUUAAAGUAGAAACAUUGUCAAACACUGAAAUAAUUGAACCCUUAAUCGGGUUUUAUUAGACAUAAUCAAAGUUAGUUCAAAUGAAAACCAGACAGAAAAUAAAAUAGAAAAACAUAUAAGUUUGUUAUCCAAUAAACCUACCUACAAAUACCCUAAAAUAAUGUGACAUCUUGAUAUUUUUCAUGUCAGAGGUCAACUCAAUAAUUGAUAAAUCAUAUUCUAAGUGCCUUUAUAGAUAGACCCCCCACUUUUUUUUUCUUGUUCUUCUGGAAGCACCUAUGGCCCAGAAAAACGAUCAGUCUUCCCUUACAUGAUUCAGUCCUCUUGAGCCACCUGCCCCCUCAGAGUUUCGCUUGACCUUGUACUAACAAAGGACAUACAGCACCAUACUUGUGUGCCUGCCCAUCUAGUGAAUUCAUUCAUAGCCACAGAAAACAAAAAGAAAGGCUUAAAGCUGUCCCUAGAAGUAAGCCUAUGAUGGAUGGAAAUUCACUUUUCCCCUUAGCUGAAGAUGAUGAGCUUAUCUCUCUAGGUGCCUAUAGUUGUACUAGGGAGGGUUUUUCUUCUCCUCUCUCAUGCACCCAAUGUUUGAUGAUGGAAAUUAUAUAUAUUUGCAAUUAAAUAAAGAAAACAACUUAGGUUAUUUUUAAUUUUUCAGGUACUCACAUUUUUUUAAAACACAAAUAAAAAAAAAAAAAUAAAUAUUUUUGACAGGACAAUUCAGAAAUGUGCUAUUAAGGCUUUUGUUGUUUUCAUCUUUUUGUUUCCAUUUCCAAAAACAAGAAAGUUCUUAUUUCUUCUGCUAAGCCUAUUUCUUUAACCCUUUCAAGGUUUCAUAGGAUCACUGUCUAGAUCCUACAUCUUGUUUUCUAACUGUUUUUCAAAAUACUUUUAUAUUAUAAGAACCAAAAUAUAUAAAAAUAAGUUCAAUAAUAUAAAAAUAAAAAAUUUGAUAUUUUUAAAGAAUAUAUUUUAAUUACUUUCGUUGAUUUCAUUUGUUUUGAAAAAUAAUUAUAUAAAUAUAAAAAAUAAUUAUAAAAAAGUAUUAUAUAUAAAAUAUUUUUAAAGCAUAUUAAAAACAUAAAAAAUAGACUAAAGUAUUUAAAGUUUUUAAAUAAAAUUUUAUUUUACAAAAUAUAUUUAAAAGAUGUUUUUAAAACCUAUUUUUUGGAACUAUUUUCAAAAACAUUUUACAAAUAUAGCCCUAGUGUUAUAAUUGUAGCAUUUAAUGCCAUUUUUGCUCCAUGUAGCAACCAAAUCACUUUUCUUUCAUUUCACCUCAUCUUUUAAUUCCAUUCAUAAUACAUAAGUUAAUGUAUAGUAACUUAGCUUGCUUGCAUCCUUAUCCCAUAUUUAGUACCCAUUGGAAUAAACCAUGAUAGACCUAAAUAAAUUUUGCUUCACCUAAUGGAGCAAACCAGCAUAACUCUCAUUAAAUUUAGCCAAUUUUAUACAAUGAAAAGUGUUUUUGAUAACAAUUUUAAAAAACAAUUUUUGAAAAUAUUUUUCAUAAAUUAUUCUAUAACCAUUGUUUUUAUCUUAUAAAUCAUCAAAUUCUCAAUGAAAUUAAACUUAGAAUUUUCAUAGAUUCUUCAUCAUUUAGGGAAAAACAAAAACCAAUAACACAAAAUCAUAAAAUUUGAGUUAGAAAUGAAUUUACUUCAAAAUUUUGAUGUUCAAUAUCUUGGAAUAUAAUAAAGCACAAAUAAAUAAAUUAUUAUCUAUUCUAAUAAAAUUUCUCCAGCUAGACUUCAAACAUAGUUUAUUAUAUAAUACUAAAUUAAUUUUAAAAAUAAAAAGUUAUCCUUAAAUUGAAAAUUGGAAAUCAAUCAAUUAAUUUCAACAAUAAACACACAUUUUAAUAACAAUAGAAAAUUUCUAACAUCUUUCUAGUAAACAAACAUCAUGAUUAAAAAUACUAUCUGAUAUCAAAUUGCUAAUUUUCUAACUAGUUAUAUAAUUAAUCAUUAUAAACUUUAUAUUCCUAUUAUGAAUUUUGAUAUUUGAGGAUGUUGAAAACAAAUUAUACUACUUUUUCCCCCCCCAAAUUAUUAGUUUUCAAACAGAUUAUGUUCAUAAUAUAAAAUAAGAACGGAUAAAUUAAUACCCGAUUGCUAAUUUCUUUAUUAACUAUUAUAAUUUUUGUGUUAUUAUAAUGGAAUAGGUAUUGUAGGAUAUUCGGAAAUAUGUUAAAUUAUUAUUAUUAUUUUAAAUUAUAAGUUUUUAAAUAUCUAUCUUAAUUGUAUAAAAUAAGAAUGAAUAAUCCUAACAUUUUGAAAUAUUUGGAAAUAUGUUAAUUAUUAUUUCUUUCUAAAAACUAUUAGAUUUUAAUAUAUUAAAUAAGAAGAAACAAUAAAAAUUAUUUUUAUUACUGAUUUUCAAACAUUUCUAGCAUUAAAAAAAAAUUAAUAAUAUUAAAAUAUCAAUUAAAUCAAACAAAUGAACAUUUAAUGCAAAUUAAACAAUUAAUGAUAUUCACCUCUAUUUAUAUCUAAGUUUAUUAGUGUACAUCUAUUCAGACUUUAGAGGGGAAAAAAAAAGGUAUUACCCAACCCAUGGAAAUAGCCCAGCCAUUAGGGUAAAGGAUUUGAUGAAGUAUGCUGAGAAAGAUUUAAAAAGUAAAAAAAUGAAAACUAAAUCUCACUUUUCCAAAGAGCCUACGAAGAACACUUCAAAAGUAUGAUGAUUGUUGUAAAGGAACUAGAUAUCCUUUGCUUGUCAUGACUUUAAUCCAAGUACUUUAGAAUCUAUAUGGAUAUGAAUUGAUAAUCGAAUAUAGCUUCUAUUUCUGCCCAACUUCUAGCUAUGACAAAUAUAUGUAAGGCAUCUCCCUGAAGUUAAGUUGGUAACGGGUGUGACAAGUCCUCAUAGUUCAGAAUGAUUAAGUAGCUUCUUACAUGAACAACUAUUCUUCAUAUAGAAUUAUUUGAGUCUUGAUCCAAAUCAUCACAUAGGGCUUGUUUGGUGCCUUUGUAGGUCAUGGUGAAAUACUUUGUUGGAAAAUCUAUGCAAAGUAGAGGUAAUGAACUAGAUAUUAUAUAAAGAUUUUAAGUUCUGGAAAAUCUUCAAGGUGGUUUUUGCUAAAACAUACCCCUAACUUUUCUGCAAAGAGCUUCUUUUGUUUUAAAGGGUUUGACAUGUAAUAAAACAAGCUAAUGGACUAUAAGUGAUAUGUAGGGAUAUCUUUCUGCAUGCUACAGAUUUGGUUUAAGGUUUUAGAUUUUAUGUGCUAAACCUCCCUCUCCUUCCCCAGCUUUAAAAACUAGAUGCAAAUGCCAUGAGAUCAAUAUGCAGUUGUAGUUCUAGGGGCUAUGGCUCAGUAGAUCUACUAGGAUUGCUGUACAUUCUAUUUGACUUCGGUUUGUAACAGUUUGAGACACUGCAGAAGGUUUUCUAAACCUUGAUUAUCAAUCCAUUGAUCUAGAGAUGGCAUGUUCUUGAGAACUUUACCAUCAUGCUUAGCAUAAAGUUUUCCGUAAGUAACAAGCAUGAAUACCUCUUAACAAUGAGAGAUUACUCGGAGAAGUUUGAAAGCUUCUUGAAAUAUGGAAAGUCUCUAGAGAGGCACCUCGCACCUAAGUUCUAGAGAAUGGAAUGAGAUGUCUCAUCUAGAUAAAUUUACACUCAACCAUAGCAAAGUACUGAAUUAUAUCUCAUGAAAGUUUUGACAGCCUUAGACCUUCCACAUUGAGGCCUUCCCCUUCAGCCAUUUUGGAUCAAAAAUCACUUACACAUGGAGAGCUGCUAAAUGGCUUAGUAAUAGAAUCUUCUAAAAUAAGCUAUAAUGGAGAUUUCUCAGGAAAGGAAGAAAAAGCAAAGGAAUAGUACUUAACAUGGAAAGGGUUAUCAUGGAGCCUCUCUACAGUUCUUGUCAACCCACAAAUGGAGACUAACUAUCGGAGAAACAGGCGGAUUCUCAUUGCAAAAUGGAGAAGAAUACUUAUCUCUUUAAAAGUUAGUAAGGAAGUUUCUCAAGAAAAGAAUUUGGAAUCUCUUCAUUACCACCUAUAAAUACGAGGUGUUGGACCUAAUCUGAAAGCCAGAAACAUAACGUACGUAGUUGGAGAAUAUUCUCGUUCAGCAACAAAUAUAAGUGGACGGACCGGACCAAAGAAGCAACUAAAUAUGGGAGGCUUUGGAUUGUCCUGAAACAAAAAAGAUUGGGAUUGCUGCAUCCUUCAAUAUAUAUGGUUGUUUAAGAAAAAAUAAAAUAAAAUAAAAAUGCUAUUCCCAAUCCUUCACUUGUUUACAGUAUCAAAGCAUGUCAGUCAUGCCUUUUUGGGAAAUUGUUCUUUCCCACUGAUUUUACUUUCUCAGUGUCCCUUCUUGCCUGAGUUUUGUCUUUGUUCACAACAUUUUGAAUUUUGUUUAUUUCAUACUACUUAUAGUGGUAAUGGAGACAUCCUUAGAAGAGGAGGGAAAGCAGGAGAUCCAACCAAUCAAUCUCUCUCAACUUUCUUCAUCACUACAACCAUACAUACCAUGCUCCUGCAUUCAUCCUAAGUUGCACUACUGUAUACAUCACCCAAGAAGUUUCAUAUUACCCUUCAGAUCUUGAAAUAGAACCCAGGAUUCCUCUUUGAUAAUGUCAUGGACAUGAAUGCAGAAACCUAAUAGCUCUCUGUCUGAAGUUGUUUGAAUCAUCCCAUCAGCAACAUUUGCUUGAACUUCCAUAUAAAUGCAACUUUUUUGUCAUGGGGAUGGUCAUAUCACCCCCUCCCUGGUUGUGUAAUAUUAUCAAGGUGAAGAAAAUAUAGGUCAGAUGCUAAUCUAAGCAAUUGGUUUGUUCUCCUAAUUGUUUCUCAUGAAGAUUCACCAGAUACUAUUCUAGGUGCAGUUCACUAACCUUGUAUAAUUUCUACUAUUUCCAUUCAUGCGAAUAUCUAGGCAAUUGGUUAAAAUGAUGAGACAAUUGAGAGGCCUAUUGUGAGUACCUUUCUGGUCUUAUCUCUGAGAUCACCAUGAUUUUAUGACCCAAAAGGCAACAGUUUGAAGAGCCAUAGACACACAUCUAAACGGCCGACAGCAUGUUUCAAAGAUCUGCUCACAACCACCAGUCUCUCUGGUCGAUAAGAUACUUGUUGUCUCUGCCUAAUGUCUUCAAUAGCUUUACCUUUUUCAGGAUCUACCAUUCACCUACUGUUCCAAAGGCAGUUCAUCUUUGUGUUGCAGGUUUUCACACUAAAAAGGAUAUGACAUUUCUGGGUGGUUACUGUUUUGAUUGGAAAGGUUUUUCUUCCCAUGUUAGGCUUGGUUUUUUUCAUUGCCACUUUUUGUUCAGAGGACUUUAUUAAAAUGGCUUUUAGUCCGUGACUGGAAACUCCAUAAGUACCUAAAUAACUCCCAAAAUAUUUCUAUGGAAUCCUCAAGAAACUUCUUCGUUCUCCACCUGAUUUCUAAUUCAGAUCUCCACAACAUAACAAAAUUGCUGUUGAUGAUGAAAUUGGUUAAAGACUAACUUGGUGGCCUGGUGUAGCUAGAAAAGUUUUCAGGGAGUAGGGCAGCUUUUGUAAUCAACAGUUGAACUCUCAACUGCAAGAACCAUUGUUGAUUCAGUUCACCGACAGGCUAAAAUAAAACAACUGGAGGAGAAAGCAACUAGAUCCUGUAGAUAAUCUACACACACUUCGAACACAAAACCUAGAUACACAAACUAAGAGAAAAAGAAAAGGCAAAAGGAAAUUUUGUGGGAAUUGGUCCUGCUAAUGUUUCUAAAAGAAGGGCACUAACAAAUAUCGAGAAUCAGUACUAGGUUACAAAACUCAUGGGGAAACAAUGAAGAAUAUGAAACCCGGUUCCCAAAACAGUAGCUCAGACACAAAGCCCUAGGGGGCCGGACCCUAUAGCUUGGUCAGAUGGCCUGACUCAGUGAGGUUCCGACAGGGCCAAACUCGGUCACACCCAAGUCCAACACCCAAUAAAAAUAAUUAAGUAUUGAUAAUUUCUAUUAGUAUAAGUAAAAGCACCCCCAUUUGCUCCUACUUUUCAGCAGGCGAUCAAAAUAAAUCCACGCAGAUGCACUACUCGAACUGCACAAAAGUGUUUUAAAAUUUUCAUUUAUAACGUUCAGUACUCCAAAUUUUUGACCAGUUAUUGAAAGAUAAUGUCUGAGAAGACUCGCUUUUUUCUUUCUCUAACUGGGAGAAGAAGAAAUGCAGGACCUGGUGCAGGAAUAGAGACUAGAAGUCAUGUUCAGAAUGAGACCAAGCUCUUGGUAACAUAUGAUAUGGAGUUUUGAAUGGAAACAUGGUGUCAGACUCUGACCCUUCCACCAAAUUUCGCUGCAAUAUGAAUACAUAUUUGAUGCAAUGCAGGCCACAGAUGAACAGUGAAAUAACAGGCAGAAAGCAGCACCGUAUACCCAUACCCCAAAAACCAAAACCCAAACCAAACCAAAACCAAAAACACAGAUUCACAGAACACCAUAAAAUUUCACCGCAAAGAGAGAAAAAAAAUCAUGGAAAAUUAGAAGAUCCGAAUUAGGGUGCAAGUGCAAAACCUGGAAUCACUGGAGUACUCGAAGAGCUUCCCUUUAGUAGAGAAGACGAUCAAAGCUACCUCAGCAUCGCACAGCACAGAAAUCUCAUGAGCUUUCUUCAGCAGGCCAGAUCUUCUCUUGGAGAAAGUUACUUGCCGACUGAUCUUGUUCUCGAUCCGCUUCAACUGAACCCUUCCUCUCCCCAUUUGCGCUCCUUUCUUUUCUCCCUGGUCAGAAGAUCAAAAACUACCACAAAAUUGCAGAAACCCUAGUUACAACUGCUGUACUGAAGAAAGAAGGCAGAAAGAAAAAAAGGCAGAAGAAGAAGAAGCAGAAGAAGAAGAAGAAGAUGACGACACAUCAUGGGUUACUUACUAAAUAUGUGUGGGAAGAGUGGUUUGCUUAAGUAUUCUUUCCAUGUAUGAAGCGCAAGGCUUUGUGUAUAUAUAGAUAAAAUAUAAUUGGGAAGGGGGGAUUGGAAAAGCAGAGAGAGAGGAGUGGUUUUGGAAAACCAGGUGGUAAUGAGGAAUGUGUUGUCGAGUUGUGAUUGGAGAUGAGGCUGGGCAGUCGUUACUGUCUCGUUUUGGGCCACAGGUUUCGAGACAUUCCGUACAGAUCAUGUCAGCCGUGAAGGAGGCUUUGUUUUGUUUUGAUGUGGUGACGGCGCUUCCUCUUUCACUUCUUUUAUUACAUCUCUUCCAUUUUCUUCAUUUCUUUGCUGGGUUUCAUCAUCUGCUUUGGGUCCAUUCCCCACAAAAUUAAUGCUCAUUCAUAUUCUUUUUUCACUUUUCUUCUAUACCCGUUUGGUUGAUUUAAUUUAGCUACCCACUACAAAAUUUAGUGGGUUUCAUGGACACCAUAUUUCAGAAUGAACCCGUUAUUAUGUAGGUUGCAUCAAGGUUAGAGACUUUUAGAGUCUUUUUCCAAAGAUAGAAUAAAUUUAAGAAAAACUUUUUCUUUUCAUGUCCAUUGCUUGACAGAAGACAAGAAAAGAAUGAAUGGUAAGAGACAUGCUAGUUUUUUGACCAAUAAAAUGACACCAUAUGGACAAAUCCUGAAAUCUUCUGGGUGAAAUUGUGAUGAUAUAAGAAGACCCAUCUUACAAAGUGACUUCUUCUGAUUUCCAAAUCGCCUUUCGGCUAUUCCUCUUACCCUCUAAAACGGAAACCCAUCUGGUACUUUAUGUGCUCAAUAUUGGGGGAUACAAGGUCUAUCAUUGAGGUGCACCCUUAAGCCCAUCUAGGGCAUACAUGAAGCAUUGGGUGAUAUCUCCUGGAUUAUGCUUAGAUUGAUGAGCCCCUUAUAAAGAGAAAUUUGAGAAAUAUUCUCUUAAUAGGGUGAGAGGGGCUUUUAUAACCAAUAAGUGGAGGUGGGAUCACGAGUAUCCAUGCCCUACUUUAGUUAGUAAUAUCGGAUUGAUAGUGUCUGCAUUCACCUCAUGAUGUCAAUGUCUCCAUCUUAAAAUUAUUAGGAAAUAGUAAAUAUGUCUUUUACAUCAAUCAACAAAGCAACAUGCGUGACUAAUUCAACUUGAUAAAGUAGAGGCGCAUGGAGUUGGACUUUAUUUGAAGUGAUGUAUAAUGAAUUAGUUGAUUUAUCAAAUUAAUAUAUUAUUGCCAAUUAAAUUCAUUUAGUUGGGUUAGAUGGAUUUAUAAAAACAUUGAUUCUAUUUGUUUUAUCAAACCAUUUAAUGAUAAUUGAAUAAAACAAACAUAAGUCAUUUGUGGAAAAUCUUGAGUUAUACUAGUAAUAAUAUUUAGCUCAUUAACAUGAUAUGAUAAUCAAAUGAAUUAAACCAGUUGCACAACACCUAAUAUAAAAAUGAUUGAUUCAUAACUAGUGAAUUGACACCAUUAUGAUACAAAUAUAAUAAGAUUCAACCUGAACUCAUUAAUUUUAUCUUUUUUGUUUUUUUUUUUGGAAUCAUUAUAAGUUAUAUUAAGAGGAGUCACCCUUAAGUCUUAUUUUUUUGCCGCACUGGUACCAAAUUAAAUCACUAAUAAUUUACUAAAGAAGGACAAAUUAAUGGGGUCCAACUAUACUUAGAUCAAACCCAUAUAAUAAUGUUAUCAAUGUUGUCACAAAUGACAUUGACUGAGAUGAUUUUAAAUUGGCAUGCAAGAAGUCAAAUGAUAAAUGACAAAAGAACAUAUUGUCCUCAAACAUCUGUUCUUACCCCACUUUAACUUGGGUGUUGAGUUAGCCAUAAUCUUGGUUCCCCAAUUAUCAUUUUUAUUCCUCUUAAUCAAAAUUGAGAACAUGCAGGAGAAUCUGGCAUGAGCAUGGGUUCUCUGCUCCUGAGGCUCUCCGGUACGCUUGUAGAUUUAUUCAUAUCUUCAUCAUCAGAUGGAAGCACAUGUAUAUCUAUCCAUAUAUAUAAAAUUGUCCAUGAUUGAACUAGAUUUCCUUUAAAAAGUACCAUUACGAGUCCUUUCACAAUAGCCCACCACUUCAAAUCACUUUACCUUAGUACCACAUCAAGGUGUCAAGAUUUCUCUUUCUUGCUGAAUAAACAAUGAACUUAUUUCAAUCAUUUGUCACAACUGAACCCUUAAUUCGAUUCUUCUAACCUUUCAAAAUCAAGAUUAUGAUAGUUUUUCAUCAUGAGUGGUGCAAAAUUUUAAGACCAUUGUACACUUUUUUUUUGUUCUCGAAUAAUAUCAUUCUUCCUCAUAGCCUGUCCCCAUUGGUAUCACUACAUCAAGUUUAUGCUAAUGUACUCGCUUUAUUUUUUUGCAUUUAUCAUAUAUGGUAAAUAAAUUAAUAAAUUAAUUAAAUUAUGAGGUUGGUUGGGCAACCUUUUCGUACCAUGUCUCUUUAUUACAAAAAAAGAAUAGUUAGGUUGUGUUUGGUUAUGCUGACUUACCUUGAACUUUUCUAUAAUUGAUGGAAUUCGGUUUAAGAGGAGUUGAUCCAUUUAAUUACUAAAGAAGAUAAUGUAUAGUAAUCUCUUGUAAUUAUUUCUAAGCAUUCAACUUUAAUAAAAUAAAGCUGGAUUUAAACGAGGACAAUGAUGAUACUGAAACCUAGGUUACAGUGGUCCACCCCACGAGUAUAAAUGAAAUUCUUUAGCUUUAAUCGUUGGUCAUUGAAACCAACCCAUGUAUAAUAUACUGAGUCAUUUGGAGUAUAAAAUGUUGGGUGGUCUUAUGGGGGCUAACCAAAAAUAAACAACAUUAUCUUUAUAAGUAGAUUGAAGCUACAUUAGUUAUUCUAAAAGUGUAGAGUUGUAGUGUAGGGACCAUGCAUGAUAGAUAGAUCAUAGAUAUAGUCCAUGCACAUUGAACUAAAAGCACAUUUGUAAAAUACUUAUAUAGUAUGACAAGAUACUUAGGGAAUUUUUAGUUAUUUGCAUUAAUUUUACGCAAACCCAAAAUAUAUAUUUAAAAAAAAAAGAUAAAAAAAAAAAAGAAAAGGCAAAAGUUUAUAAAAGAUGUAAUGCUUUUUAUUGGGAAUGGCAGGAGCUUAGGCCUUAAUAACCUCGUGAAGGGACACAUCCCUGUGCCUGUUGAGACAAGUAGUCAAGUAGAGGGUAGGCAUUGGAGGUGUGGAGCUGAGGUGUUGAGCUCUCAGACGCUUGCCAUCCCAUCGCCUGGAAAGGAAGGGGGUGUCUUUAUAAUUUGGACUAGAGUAUGGGACAACUUUUAUGCUUCUAUUUAUUUAUUUUUGAGAAAAAAGAGGGUAAAAAUUUAAUGGGAUAGUGAAAUAGAAUGCUGCCACAGCCAGAGGGGCCCUGGCUUCUUGCAGUGCAACAAUUGUUAUAUUAAGUUGACUUUCCUCUAGGGGGUUUGGAGCAUACUGAUUUUAUGGUAUUUUUAAUGCAUGAUGUUGCACACUUGUUAAAUAGUAAAUGUAUUCAUUAACACCCAAUUUUUUUUUUAUAAGCUAUUUAUUUAUUUAUUUACUUAUUUAGUUUUGUAAAAUAAACCCAAUAAAAUAAUAUUUCACGUAGGAUCGACAAAUUUUUUUUCUUAAAAUCAAUUUUUUUUAGUUUUACAAAUGUAUUUUAAAAUCAUAAAAACCUUUAAAUUUAGAUAAUAUUAGGGAUGACAACGGGGCGGGUUUGGAACGAGUCGCUCUCAUCCCAAUCUCGCCCUGUUUAUUUGAAACAAUUCCCAUCUAUAUCCCAUAAAUGGGGCGGGACGGGAAUAAAUUUUCAUAUCCGCUCCGUUUAAUUUUUUUGUUUUAAUUUUAAUUUUUUUUUAAAAAAUUACUUAAAUUUUUUUUAAUUAUAUUAAAAUAAAUAUAUUUUAUAAAUAAUUAAAUAAUUAUAUAUUUUUAAUUUUAUAUAUAAUCGGGGCGAGGUGGGAUAAUACCCAAACCCGCCUCAAAACUACCCCAUACUUAAAAAAAGAAUUUUCAAACCCGUUUAUUAAAAUUAAACCCCAUCUCAUUAGGGAUAGGUAUCCAAAAAGACCCGCCCCAUUGUCAUUCCUAGAUAAUAUUUAUGUAAUUAAGUGUAAGUUGUUAUAAAUUCAUUUAAUUAUUAAUUUUUAUUAUUAUAAUAAUUAAAAUAUUUUGAGGAGAAUAAAAAAGGGAUGAAGAUUGAAUUACUCGAGGGAGGUGAAUUUCCAACCUGCUGUGCCUUAUCCUUGGUAAUAGAUGUCAUAAGAGUAAUGCCGGUGGGCAAACUGACAAAACUUGAAGAAGUUCAUGAAUGAUUCUAGAGAAUUGAUGAAUGUCAGAAUAUUAUCAAGCUGGAUGUAAGUCUGUGACAGCAAAUGAUUUUUUUUUCAAAAUCAAUAUCAAAAUUGGAUAUUUCUCCACAAACUUUUCCAAUUGCAUAUUUAUUUUCCCAAAUUUUUUUUUAUGUUGUGGGAAUCUUUGAUAGAGGGCCCAAGUGGAUGUCAUUUAGCCUAUGAGUAGACUAAUUGUACGAGAUGCUUUUGCAUCAUCGUAAAGGUAGAUUCCACACCCAGUUGCACACUUGCGCACCAACACAAGUGGGAAAACAAUUUUAGAAAGAUUAACAAAAGAGGAGAGAGGGAGGGAGAGAGAGAGAGAGAGAGAGGGAGGGGGGGAGAAGAGAGAGAGAUUCCUUCCCAACCCACAACAAAUGACAUUAGAGAAAAUGAAGUAAAAUAAGCACUAUUGUUGGAAUUUUAUAUCAAAGGCUGGAGAACAGUACCAUUUUCUUUCUUUCUUUUUUAGAAAUAAAUGUAUUUUAAAUGCCCAUUUAGUGAAACAAACUGGCCAAGAGGGUUGGGACAUCAAUCAAAAUGACAAAAGCAGACCCACAUUAUUAAGCUACCACUGAUGGAAAAUGGAAGUGAAGCUUUACUGAGGUAGAGGCUUGAGGCACAUUUUGAUGGUGGAAGCAUGCCGCAGCAGUUCACGUGGGUAGUGACCCACAAGCUCUAUCCCUCAUCAGAAAACAAGUAAAGGCAUCUCUUCUCCUCUAUACCCUAGAUUUGGGCAUGUGCCCUAAAUCAGGAAUGAAAAAGAAAAAUGAAGGCGUGGCCGCAUAUAGCAAGCCUUUGUCUUUCUCUAUGAUUGGUAUAUAUAAAUGUAAGGUUUCAUAAUGUAGGCUGUCUCUGUUUACAAACUCAGAGCCUCUGGUUGCUUUCCUUCUACUUUCUGUGCUGUGUAAUAGAGUUACCUGAUUUGGGUACUGCUGUGCCUCUGGUCAUCAUCUUCUCCAUGUACACUGUUGUGUGCUGUGUGUAUGUAAAAUGAAGGGGAAAAAGGAUAAGGAUGCUUUGUUACCAAGUAAGGAAACAUCAAAAGUGGCGAUCUUUUUGGUGAUUUAUUGGAUGAGAAUUCAGAAUUGAAAAAAGAAAACGUGGCAUGAGGGGUUUGGGGACAUGAUCCUAUUUUUGUGGUACAUUUUGGCUAUUGUCAGAUAAUGGAAUGUGGGUCCCUUUCCUUAGACAUGUAGGAGAAAGUGAACCGAAUACUUCUAUUUUUUGGAAAGGGUAAACUAUAUGACUUUCCCUUCCCUUUGGUGUAACUCUAUUUUUUGAAAAUUACUCUUAACCUUUUUUUAGGUAUUUGUCAUGUAAUAUGACCACCCCCCCAUGGUGAUGGGCUUGAUGUCAUUAUCUAAUAUUUUUAAAAUGACGGAAUUGCCCUUCAUGUUCACACACUACAUAUGAAAUGUUCUAAGAGGAAAAAGUGGUAGGCCCUUCUUGUUCCUUAAAUGUAUUUAUUGUAAUACCAAAACCCUGGAAAUAAAAAAUGUGUUAAGAGUUGAGAUUUUGAAAUAAAAAAUGCCAAUAUGGGAGGAAAGUUGGAGUGAAGAGGUUUAGAGUUGACUCCCAAUUCCUUUGCUAUGCAACAGGGGCUGUUAUUACUUUUCGUGCUACCGCCAAGCGUGGACUAUGGUGUUGCCGACGAAGAAAGUAACUGAAUUGGUGGGGAGAAUUGUGAUGUGAUGCAAGAGAUUAAGACUUUAAAAUGAAACUACAACUACCCCAAGUGGGUGGACAUUGGAAUGAUUGUAUUGUUUACUAUGACUUAUAUAUUGCUCUAUGUUCUCAUCUUGGCUUUAAAGAGCUAAUAUAUUUGGUUUGACCUAUUUAUACUGCAUUCUAACUUGUUCAAUCGAUGUGUAUUUAUGUUAAUUAAACUGAAUUGGGUGGGUGAAGUUAGAAGUUGGAAGGAGGGCAGGUGUACCUUAUGAUAAUUGUAUGUCAACGACUCUAUGAAUUUGAUUAGAUUUUUAAAGGAUUUUUUCAAAAGUUAGAAAAAGGAGAAUCAUGAAUAGAUAUUGAGCUUGAACAAUUACGAGAAGUCUUGCUAAAUAAACCUAAGUAAUUCCCUAAAAAGAAGGGGAGAGGGAGGAUGAAUUGGGUGAUAAUAUGUUUUUAAAACUUUUUACCAAAUUUUAACACAAUUAAUAAGCAUAUGUAAAUAAAGAAAGGGAGAUUGCAAAUAAAGUGAAUUUAUUAUGGUUCAACACCGAGCCUACGUCCAUGUCCUCUAAGUCCUCCACAAGCCCUGAAGUAUUCCAUUAUUUCAAAUGUCUAUUCAACCAAGGCUCUCUUUAUUUGUUCUUAUACUUUUAGUUACAAUAAAGUUUUACAACUUCAAGAUAUUAUCUGCACACCUUUCUUGCCAUCUCACUAAUUUAUAAUUGAGAAAAAAAAAAAAUAAUGAACAUUCUCAUAAAGACUAUAUAGGCAAUUUUAAUGCUCAAGUAUGAGUGCUUUAAACGAGGGUUGGCAAAUGUAAGUUCAAUGUGGUCUGCACAUCUUACAAAAAUUUCUUUAAUUGGAGUAUAAAUUAUUUGCAAAUGUUAGUCGGAUACUUGAUCUAAGCCACUGCAUUUAUUAAUAAAAACUUGUUCAUUAUUUGCUCGAUCUUUAAUUUCAUAGAACAUGAAAUUUGUAUACAAAUUUUAAGCAUGCCUAAUGGGACACUUUUGCCUUUCAUUUUUUAUUUUAUUUUAUUUUAUUGAAGUUUCUAUUUUCAUCCCAAGUCAAGUUAAUAGCUUUAAGGAAGAACCAAGUUGCAUGCGCAUAUAAAGAAAAUGCUAAGACUAUCAUUACCCAGCGUCACAUGCAAAAUACUUCUAUUGGUCUAAUAACCCAUAGCAAUGUAAAAGCAAUAAUAGUUAUUUUACCUUCAAACCAACAUGUGUUGGUGAAUGCUCAUUCAUUAAUACUUGCCAAAAUGCACAAUAAACAUAAACCAAUCAUUACUCUAGCCUCUCUAGGGGUAAGGAAACAAGUUUCUCUUAAUAUAGGAAAACAUCCAUUAUCAUUGAAUGAUUCAAAGGGUAAAUCCCCUCAUUACAUUUUGGAUGCCAAGUCAAGCAUAGACUCAAAUUCUAACUAAUCAACUAGAAUAAGGAUAUGUGAAACUUUUUCAAGUGUUCAGAUACUUUUACCCACUUAGUGGUUAUGUUGGUCAUGGUAAUUGAUGUUGCCUCAAUAGAACAACAAUUAAAUGAGAUGACUCAGACUAUUGUUAUACUCAAUAAACCAUUGAAAAUUCACAAAUUGAUUCCUUUAUGAGUGGGUUGGAGGAGGAACAUGUUGGUUACUUGAGUCAAGAAACCACCACACCUUUCGGAUUUUAUUCCUUAGGAGGAUACAUCUGAUGAAUCUGUGUUAGCACAAGGUAAAAAAUAAGCCCAUGAGCUUGCUUUAAUAAUUUUGUUAUUUGUUCAACAAUAAGAAGACAUGAUAACAAACACAAUUAGAAUCCAGUAUGGAGGUCCAUCACAGAGUACAUUGAUGCAUUCAAAGACUUCUAGUAGGACGAUUGACAACCUAUGAAUGGUUGUGGGUUAUCAAUCUUGAGGAAUGUAAUGAGAUAGUGAAGGUCACAAAAUUAUUAUUAUCCUCACUUUCACUUGAGCUCAUGGAUUCAUUAUCAUUGGACUCGUAAUCACUCCCAUUUACUUACAUUACUUUCGUAGUCUUUUUGGCAGUAGGGCAAUUUGUAGCAAAAUAUCAUUUCCCUCCAUACACUCAACUUGAGAGGAUUUAGAUGAGUAUUUUUCUUGGAGAAAGAGUUCUUCUCUUUCUUUGAAUUAUCUUUUAUGUUUGCCUCCUUUUGUAAGUUCCUAAUAGUUUAAAUUUUUUUUUUUAUAAACAUAGAAAUUUUAGAUUAAGAUCGACUUGCUGACUCAUUCUCAGACUCAACUUUUUCUUUUGAGGAGGCUUUUAGAGCUUUCUCUUUGGGUAAGUUCGUAAAUGAUAAAGUCAUCUCAUAGGUCUAUAAAGAAUAUACAAUUUCAUUUACUCUAAUGAAAGUCACAUUUUUACUUAUCUCUGUUGCGAUCGCUUUAGGUCUAGAUUUCUCAAGAAGGGAUCUCAAAUUUUUUUUUUGACCACUUUUAAGUCAAAGAUUCUUUCUUCUAGGUUGAAACAUGAAUUAAUAUUAAUGUCACUAAGUUCAAUAUAGAACUCAAAGAAGGUCUCAUUAUCUUUCAUCAUAAUGUUUUCAAACUUAAUAGUUAACAUUUGGAGUUUAGACAACUGCACAUUAGAAGUGUCCUCAUGAGUUACUACUAAGAUAUCCCAAGCCUUUUUAGUGUAUAUGCAAGUUGCAAUCUUGCUAAUUUCAUUAGGACUUAUACCAUUGAAAAUACAACAAAGGGUUUUGGCAUUCAUCUUACUUCUUAUAUUGUAUAGUUUAUCCCAUUUUUCCUUAGGCUUUAUUUCAUUACAUAUUCUUUCUCCUUACAUUUUCAAGAAUAGUUCCAUCCUAACUUUUUAGUGGGAGUAGUUAUAUCCAUCAAAGAAUGGAGGACAGUUAAUCGAAGUACCCACUCUUUAUGAUUUAUUAAUCAAGACAGGAAAGAUUCGAUAGAAAUUUGAUUUUUCAAAAAUAACUUGUUUUGAUACUAUUUGAACGAAUUUUGUCCUAAUAUAUGAAACUACCUAGAGAAAGUUGGGUGGGGGGGUGUUGUUGAAUAGAUGGUCCAUAGUCUAAUAAAUUAUCUCCAACAUUAAAAUAUUUUAUUUUAAUUAUUCAGUUAUCAUCAAGAUAUCAUUGAUCUCAUGCAUAAGAUUUCCAACCACACAAUAAAACACAUGAUUUGACAAGGAAAAACCACCUAGUGAACCCCUAGAUGUAAAAAAUCAUAGUUAUUUUCUUGAUCGCAAAAUAAUAUACUAAUUAUAAUAAAAAUGUACAUAAAAUUACUUGAUUGAAUGUGCUUACUCCCUAUGGUCUUAUAUCGGCAAAACCUAGACUUUUCUUCCACAUCCUUAACAUAGUUCUUAUGCUUAAUGGAUCCCUUGAAGCUUUUAUUGAAGUUUGAUGUAGUGUGAAUCUUAGACCUUUGUUCAACUAAUAGGUAUGUUAUAGCUAGUAAGUACUUUCAAGAAAAUUCUUGAAAGCUUUGGGAGAUAGAUUGGGUUCAAAAUGUUAAUAAAAUAAUCCUUUCUAUACUUGAAAAAACCCUUGGGCUAAUUUUGGAAGACAGUUAUAUCUUCUAUUUUACCAAAUUACCCUUAAAAAUAUGAGGUUGGAAAGAAAUUAAAAUUAAAAGUCAACUAGCAUUUGAACACCCUACAAGGAGCAUUUGAAUAUUGGAUUGGAACUUUGAACAUCCUUUUGGAUGUAUGAAAGCUCCUUAUGAGGUGUUUAACUGUUCCAACUAAAUAAACCUAAUUCUGACUUUGUUUUUUAUGUAUCUUCUCCACAAUACAUAUGUAGAAAUCAUAUUAUAGCCAAUCCAUAAGUUUUAACAACAUCAAAUGUAUGCAUGCCUCAAAUAACAUUGACAUUGAGACAGUCUAGAGUCGAUUCAUAGUUAUAAGACCUAAGAAAGUGUUGGAAUAGCUUUAGAAAGUAAGAAAUUAUGAAACAAUCAUAAAUAAAGUUGAUUUGUUUUUAUUCAAUUUUAUCAUGCACAUAUUUGUGGAUGUGUUCAUUUAUACAUUGUCCUUAUGAGUGUUCAACCCAAUCAAGCCCAUUGUACAUUGUUUAGGUGUUUGUGGAUAAACAAAUGACAUAACCAUGAGAUCUUUAUGGCUCGAUAAGUGUGUUCACAAUAAUUCACGAGUUUGGGCAACUUAGUUGUGGCUAUAGUACAUCACCUUCGUAAUUUAUGGCAUGAUUUGUAUUGGCAUUGGAGUGAGACUUCAAGGUGGAUGUGCUAGUGUGUAUGUGUUGCAUAUUGAACAAAACCCGUGGAGAUUCAUGGCAAGUUUGCAUUUGAUUAGACAUGCAAUAUCUUCAAGCUACUAUUGCAAGUGCUCUUUGAGUCACAAAAUAGUGAGACCUUAAAGUGAUCAUAUAUUAUCAUGAUCUUGAGUGAUCAUUCAUUCAACAUAUAGUGAGAUAAACACUCAAUAGAAUGAUAUCCCAUUAGGGACAACCAUACCCUUGUUGAGUAGUCCUAAGGUGAAUGAUCAAGUUCAACCAUUAGCCAAGGUAAUUACAUAAAAUUGGAAUUUGAUAUUUUAUCCCAUCCGAAAAGGAAACAUCAAGUGAUCAUUGAAAAAGUGGAUUUGUAACUCAAUAGAAUCAAAAUAUAAUUUAAUUGGUUGAUUACAAAUUCCAAUUAAAUUAUGGAUAUCAAUUCAAGAGUAACAUAUGCAAUGAAAUAAUAAGUCAUGGACCAAACAUACUAUCAAUUAAUUAAUUGCUUCAUGUAAUUUACAUAAAAUGUUAAGAGUGUAAUUAAUCUUCUAUAGGGCAGUAAAAAUUAAUUAUAAGAUUAUGUUUGAUGGGAGCUAAUUAUUUUAAGGGUCCUAAUGCUCCCCACUCAAGUUAUUAGUAAUAUGUGCACAUCUAUUUGAUUGAGCAUUAGAAGGCUAGGGUGCAUCAAGUGGUCUUGGGUGCCCCAUGGGGGCUAAGGCUAAGACUAGGCUCAUCAAGAGUAAGGUGGUAAAUUUAACAUAACCACAAGGUCUACAUAAAGCACUUCAGUGUUUCAUUGGAAGACAACUUAUAUUCUUGAAGCCCUAGUAGCUGCCAUCCCUAUUCUCUCGUUCUCCCAUUUUGCUCAAAAUUGAUUGCCCACACAAUCAAGAUGCGCUAGCCCAAUAGGAUAUACAUUUUGGGUUGAUAUUAUGAAGGCUGCUUUAAUGCCCCUUAUAUAUUGAUCUAACAAUUGGUAUCGGAGCAUAUUUAAUGUCCCUUAUAUAUAGAUCUAGCAAUUGAUAUCAGAGCAUGCUAGAUGUAAAUAGAUUUAUGUCCAUGCUACCGUUUGUUUUGUAGAAUUAACUUUUCUUAUGAUCGAUUCUUCAAGGUUUAAGCUUUUGAAAUUUUAGAUUGAUGUAAGCUCCUUAGGAGAGCCUAGGAAUCUAUGGGCUAUAAAAGUUUUUUUUCUUUCUUUUUCAUGGAUUGGUUGUAAGCUCGUAAUAGGAGCUACGCCUCUUGAAAACAGUAAUUCUGUUCAUAGGUUUUUUCUUUUCUAUGUAAAAAAAUCUGGUUUUUGCCAUCAUCUAUGGAGGAUCAAUCAAAGAUCAAAGGUAGCUUGAUCCAUGGAGAGAAAAGAUCAGAUCUUGAUGUAUUUUUGAAGCCUUUAAUGGAACAUCAAUGGUGAAGGAACUGUUGGAGGAUCAUCCAUGGAGGAAAAUUCGAAGCCUUGGAGGAUUUUUCAGCAAGAAUGCAUCAUGGACGACAGCUAAACAUGUUGGAGUGCAGCCUGGAUAGCAAGGUGCGUGAGAUGCAGCCUCAUGGCCGGGCCAUGCAUGCUGGCAGCACGUACCAAGGCUGGAACAGCGCACCAGCAACCCUUGGGCUGCCAUGUGUGUGACCCAUGCACUGCUGGUUUGUGCGUGGGAGUAUGGGCUGAAUCUUGGGCUGAUUUCGGUUUAAAUUUUGGGUUGUAUUCAGGACUAUUUUUUUGCUGAAAAAGGGCUGGUUGAAUUUGCUAUUUUUGGUGCUGAAAAUUUCAAGAAAUUUUCCUUCCUGAACUUUCAGUGCAAUCUAAUACAAUCUGGGUAGCAGCUGGUUGGGCAUGAAAUUGGCAUGUUUUUUUUUUUUUUUUUCUCUUCUCAAAAAGAUUGCUAAAUAAUGGCUAGAAAGCGACCAAAAGAUGGAGGAUAUUUGGACGCUUCAUGGAAUUUGAAUCCUAGACGGGAAGAAUUCAUGUUUCCUUCUAUAUUUGGACUCCUUGGCCACGGGAAAUUUAUAUCUUGCUUUAUUAUUAUUAUGGUUGCUUUCCAUAAUUAAGAUUGCAUUGUUAUUUAAUUUAGUUAAAAGAUUUUCAAUUUGGAAAGGUUUAAUGAAUAAGGCAUGGUAGUAGAAACUUGUUUUGUUGAAAGAUUUUAUAGAGGGUGAAAGCCAUAAGUUAAAUUUUAGAAAAUUUUGAAGAUUACAUCAUGCCAUAAAAAUUGGGAUUUAAAAUUUAAAAUUUGCCUAUGGACUAGGAUGAAAAUUAUUCUUUUAUAAUCUAUGGAAAUAUAUAUGUAAUUAGUCUCUUUUUUGGAAACAAGGAUUUCUACAAUAUUUGACUUCCCAUAUUGGCAUGAUGUGGUUUCUUUGUGUUUUCAAAUGGUAAUUGAGAGAGAAAAUUUCUAAGUUUGAUUUCCAAGAUUCAAUAGAAAAGAUUACCAUGAAAGGAAUAAUUUAUUGCAUAAGAUAAAGGAAAGCUCUACCACAUGACACCAGGACAGCCAAGCCACAUACCCAUGCACUUGAUGAGUUGGGUUCUCCACCGUAUGAUCAACUACAUCUUUACUCCCUGGGAAGGACAUCGGGAUGAGGUCUCCUACUAUGGGACAUUUUUUAUUGAUUCCAUCGUGACCGACACGAGGUUCCAUCAUGAUCAACUACAAUUUUAGCAGCAUAUGAUGAGGUCUCCUACAUCUUUUGAUGUUUUCUUACGAGGAUUUUUAAGGAAUUUGAGGUCAAACUAAAUGGGAAAAAGGAUAUUCAGAUUCCUACCAUUUAUGACACCUAUAAUCUUAAAUCCAUGGAUAGGAUGCAUCUUAAGAAGUUUUCCAAGUAAGAGGAGGAUGAGAUCAGAGAGAUGGAGGGUAGGGAGAUCCCUCAGGGUCAGGAGUUGGAGGCUACAAUUGCAGAGGAGCCUCUCUUUACUGAGUAUCCAGAUAUACCCUUCCAAACUUCCCAACCUGAGUAGACCAUCCCUGCUGGAGAGACCUUCACUAAGCCUGCAUUUACCAAGGUGCCUCUACCUCCAGCAACGAAGUUCACUGCUACACAUGAGUCUCCUCAAGUUAAGCAGCAAUAUUGGAUGAAUCUUUUUGAAAAAAUUAGUUCUCUUGGUACACAGAUUGAGAAGCUCGUCUUGAUUAGUGAUCACCAAUUCUACUCCAUCGAGGAUCAUAUGGACCGGUAUUAGGCAAACUUCACUACCCAAAUUGAGCAGCUUCAAAGGAGCUUCACUACUCAAUUCAAGCAUCUUUAGAUGAGUUUUGCCGCCUAGUUUGAUCAAUAUCAAGCCGCCACCGCAACCUAUCAUGCGGAGAUGAUGGCAUAUCUUGGUUUAGUGUUUCCAUCUAUACCUCCCCAGCCUUAAGUGUCAUACUAUGUUUUCCCUCCUUCCUUUUGAAGCUGACAAAGAGGGAGAUAUAUUUUUAUAGGCAUAUCUACGAAGUUAGGAGCAUUUAUCAUUUUGAUAGGAGUGUUUCCAUGUUAUGGUUGUUUUUUUCAUUGACAAUCACUUUCUUAUGAUUUUCAUAGAUAUUUUGGACGUUCACAUCCUUAGCACUUAUGUUUAGUUAUUAAAUGAUUAUUGGUUGGAUGCUUUGGAUAUUCUACAACUCUUUUGGUUCUUCCAUUUAUUUUUACAUGCUUGUUGAGCUUUGUUUAGUUGAUUUUUCUUUGCAUAUAUUGAGGGGGAGUCUUUUCCAAAGAUAACCUGGUUUUCUCGUUAUCAAAUAGGGAGAAAUUCUUGGCCUAAGGGUUCUUGUAGUCAAGUUUUGAUGAUUAGAAAACAAGGUUAAGUUAUCUAAUAGCCUAAAUCAAGUGAAGUUUUCAAGAUUAAAUGAAAAAUUCUAAAGAUUUGGAUUUCUUGAAGACUUAAAGUACUCUAGGAAAAAUUUUAAAAUGGUAUUUGUUUGUGCACUUAGGUCUAAAACUUUUCGCAUGUACUUAAAAAGUCAAUUUUCAUCCUCACUUAACUUUAAAAACGAUGGUUUGACCAUAUAUUUGGAUGAAUCCUUACUUUAAUUUAAAACCUUAAGCUAAAUUCUUUCAAACCUUAAGAAGAGUUAUACACAUUACUGCAAGGUUUAAACCUCAUACCAAAAGUUUCAUAACCUUGUAGAUGCAACCAAUUGAGGGUAACCUAAACUGAUUAGGGAACAUGCUAAAUUGGUUAGGGAGUUAGCUCAAUCGGUUGGGCUUGACCAGUUGAUGGAUGGUUGCUAGUGCACAAAAUUCUUCUCUCUUCUAGUAGCACAUGUAUAGUCGAUUAAGAUUUUAUCUUGACCGAUCGAGUGAGCCUUAGAAACCCCAACGGUGACCCAUAAAACAUUUAAUGCCCAAUGCCUAGUCAACUAGUUAAAUCAUUAACAUGACUAAUCAAGGGUGUUGUGUGUUUUUUUGGGUGCCCAAGCCCAUUUUCUAUCAAUUGAGGAGCUUAACCGCAUCUAUUGAUAAGAGAACAACAUUCAAUUGAAACUUUUUUUUUUCUCACAUUCAAAUUAAGCUCUUCGGUUAAAGUGCAUUGAAUUCUCACUUGUACAUUUUUUCGUGCACCUUAAAAUCCGUCAUAGCUUUCCCUUAUAUUGUGAGUUAUAUUUGUUCUAAACCCUGUUUUCAUGGUUUAGGUUGUUCCCAUUUCGCUCAUCACUACUAUGGGAAUCGCUUUUGCUUUCUUUUCCUUUGGCUACUAAGAUGUUUUAGUUCGCCAGAUUGUCUCUUGCCUGCCUAUGGAUUCAACAACAAUUCGAAAGGUUGACCUAUUCGGGAAUCUCUGGAUCUAUGCUUAUUUUUAACUCCCCGAAGUAUUUAGUUACUUACUACACCUUUCAUCGUCUAUGGGUGCCUAGGCAUCCACCACUAUAAGCCUUUCCUUGUUUGAACCUCACUCUUAACUUUAAUUUAAGGCUAUGCCAUCCUAAGGUGUUGCUAAAUGGGAGGAUCUUAUCAACGUCCAUGAAGAUAAAUCAUAGAUCGAAUUGUCGAAUUGGAAAAAUUGGGUGCUAUUAUAUAACUUUGUAUCGACUAAGUUCAUGAGUUGGAGAUAAGCGGACUCGAACUGUUGACAUUUGCUAAAGGGUAAACCACCACCUCUUAGGCCCCCCGACUGAUUCUACUAUAGAGACCAACGAUAGACAAUAACUUAUCCCCGAACACAGCUUACAACUUUCAUCAUACUGUGCUUUCCAAAGAGCAACUCUUCUCAAAAUCUCAAAAGGUGUUGAGUUGGAAUCCCACGAUUGGAAGCAUUAAAACCUUCUUAUUUAUUUAUUUUGAGUGAAGAUACUUCAACUAGGUGAAAUACUUAAGAGAUUUUAGUGCCCAUUAGAACCGACGAAUCAAAUUAUAAAGCUUGAAAGCUUGUGUUGAAAUCCUUAAUAGUAAAACCCUCACUUGGUUUGGAGUUUGAGGAAAGUGGGUGUAAAUAGAUUGUCAAACCCAUAUAAAAAGAGUUUGCACAUUUCUUCUCACUAUAUUUUAUUUUAUAAUUAUUUUGCUUGUUAGUUACUUGUGUUUUACAUUUGGUUAAAUAUUUUUUAAAAUUUUUUAACACCCAAUACCUUUUCCCUUUUAAGUGAUUUUCUUAAUCUAAUUAGUCACUUUUCAUAGGUAAAAUUCAAUUAAUCAAUUUAUCAAGUUUGUGAUCUACUAUCCACUAAAUACGAAAUCUUCAUGAGCUAGUGUUUGUAAUCUAAUGAGGUAGAUGCUAUAUCAACCUCUCAAAAUUACCUAUACAAUCCUUGAGUCUGUAGGGAAACACUAGAUCACUUUGUUUUCUAAGUCUGGAUCAGGUUAGAAACAUGUAAAAUUAUCCUAGGGCUUUUUAAAUCCUAUGCACAACAGAAAAAUUGCAUUUUUAAUACAAUAAUAAGUUAAGAAUGUGCAUACAUUGGAUUUGGAUGUUCCUAAAUCGAUUCCUUUCAAUGAAAAGUAAAUUCAUAGUCGUAGGGAGUCUCAUAAACCCCAAGUCUUUUACUUGAUGACUUGAACUACGUCUUUGGCACACUUCUGAUGGGAAGGAAGAGGGGCUAAAGGCUAUGACUCUCUCUCACUUUUUCUCUAUCUUUCUCUUUCUAGAGGUGGAAGACAACUUUAAAGAAAAGCUAUGGAAACCUUAACCCUUAAGAAGGUAUUGAUUGGGUCCUUAUUAGGCUUAAGUAACUUGAGCCAACUAAGAGUUUGAGUCACUUAAUUUAGCCUAAAAUGGGUCAUAAUUGAUUAAUUAACCUAAUAAGGCUUACUAAUUAAUCUAAUAUGAAGACUCUAUUCACUUACCUCAAUGUAACUUUGUGCAAUUACCAUUGUACUUUUAAAAACCAGACUAGACCGACACCCUUUCCGGACCGGUGAAAUGGAUCAAAGACAGGUUGAAUCGACGGUCAUACCAUCGAACCGGAUGAACCGUCCAAUUCUUCAUGGAUUGGUCAAGGUCAAAACUUAAAUGGGCAAGUCAUUCAUUCCAAGCUCGUUUGCUUGUUCCUAAGGUCUGUAGGUAUAAAUAGUAAAUACCCAUCUAUUUCAAGCCCAUUUGCUUGCUCCCAAGGUGUAUAAAUACCACACAAGUGGUUUAUAGAUUCAUGGUGGGGAAUUGAACUUAGGACUUAUGGUUAGCAAAAUGAGUAGUACACCACUAUGCUAUAGAUAUGUUUGAUUAAUAAUUUGGUAAAUAUCUAUAUAUUUGUUUUUAAAAUUUUUAUUAUAUAAAACAUUUAAAAAAAUAUAAAUAUUUAUAUAUACUAUUAUUUUUAUAAUAAUUAUUAAUUAUAAACAUGAAAAUAAUAUAAAUUAAUCAAUAUAAUAAUUUUUAAAAUUUUAGAAUAACAAAAUACAUAGAUAUAUAAUUAAAUUAAAUAUUAUAAUUUUCUUUUCAUUUUAAAUAUAUUUUCAUAUAUAAAUACUAUACAUAUUCUAUUUAAUAAAUGUAAUAUAUUAAUACAUUUAUAUUUAUAUUUAUCAUUUAAUUUGACAUAUUGAACAUAAAAAAAUAAAAUAUUAUUAAAUAUUUUAAUAUAUAUAUAUAUAUAUAUAUAUAUAUAUAUAUAUAUAUAUAUAUAUAUAUAUAUAUAUAUAUAUAUAUUAAUUUCUUAUGGUUAUUUUUAAUUUUAUUAAAAUAUAAAAUAUAUAUUUAUGAUGUCAUUGUUCGACCACCGAUUCGACAAGUGAAUUGUGAACACGUAACCUUUUUAGUUCAAUGUUUGGUCUGGUUCUGAAAACAUUGAUAAUUACCAAAAUACUCUUAUGUAUAAAAGGGAACCUAGAGUCGAUCUAACCCUCAUAACUCAUGUCAUCAUGGCAUAUGAACCUAGAGGGAGGACCAUUGGGAUCUGUAGGAGUAUUGACUCCAUUAGAAUCCAAUUUUAAAGUUGAUUCAACAUUCUACUAUAGAGAAUCAACUGCACUCCAAUAUCCUAUGUUAAAAACAACGAAACAUUAUGUGCUGGGGUCCGUGACCUACUAUCCAUUGCAUUCAGUCUCCCCAUGAACUGAUAUUCUUAGUUUAACAAGGUGAAAACUAUCAACCUUUCAAGAAUACAUUUACUAUCCUUGAGUUAUAAAUCCUCCUAUUAUGUAUUUAGCUGACAUGUUUUAGUUCUCAAAGAGUUAAUGUCAAGUUUCACUUAAGGAACUACUAUGAUAAUAAUUUACAUGAACACAUCUCCUUAGGAUUACUCAAGAGGACACUUUGUUUCAAUAUCAUGAAAUAUCAUGGUGCCUCUAUUAAAAAUACAUAUUGUUACCAAAUUCCACAAUAAUGUCUUAAUCCAUAAGGAAUAUAUGAUUAGCUUAUGAUCUCACCUAUAGGUUAAAGUCGUUGCUAGCUUUACCACAAACUCAAUAUUCUCUCAAGGUUGAGAGAUAACAUAAUGAAGUAGUUUGGUGAAGUCAUGAUUACUUGAUAGCCUUAAGUUAUAACUUAACGUAAGUCCUAUCUAAUUUCUAACCAUACACACUAGUGCGCUCACCAUGGGAAACUCGUUUUAAUAGCCAAGACCAAUCAUCUCUCCACUUAAGAGGUGGUGCAUUGCAAUCUCUAAUGGAUUGCCUAAGUCCACGAACCGGUUAUGAACUAGUUAUCUACUUGCAAGAAACCUAUGAUUUGGAUCUUUUAUGCAACUCCUGAUGCACUCAAGUCACAUACAAGACAAAAGACAUAGACAAAAAUGCAUGAAAAUAAGAUAGAUAAAAAUAAACUGAAAUUUUAUUAAUAAAUAAUAAAUCCAAAAGCUUUAUAACAUCAUAUCAUGCUUUUAAGGGCUUUAUCUUAAUAGAAUCUCAAAUCCUCCUAUUUUGUGACCAACUAAUAUAAUUUAGUUCUUAAUGAAUAUAUGUCAGAUUUCACUUAAAGGAUUACUACAACAAAAAAUUACAGAUCACAAGUCCUUAGAAUCACUCAAGGGGACACAAUGUCUCAAUUCCAUGAGAUAUCAAGAUGCAUAUUUUGAGAAUAUUUGUUGUCACAUGCCUUAAUCAAUAAUAAUUUAAUUUGUAAGAAAUAUAUGACCACCUUAGGAUCUCAUACAUAGGUCAAAGUCAUUAAAGACUUUAGCACUAACUUAGUACUCUCAAGGUUGAGGGCCCAUGCAACAUAGUAGCUUGGUAAAUCACAACUACCUAAUAGUUAAUGCUAUGAUCCAUCAUUGUCCAAUGUGUAACCACAUAAACUAAUGCACUCAUCAUAGGAAACUAUUCUCAUGACCAAGACAAGUUAUCCGUCCAAUCAAUUAGAAGGUAAUACACCAUAGUCUUAGAUGAAUUACCCAAUUCCUUAAAUCGAUUAUAAACAACUUAUCAUCUUGCAAUGAACUUAUUACUGAAAUCUUCUGUGCAAUUCCUAAAAUAUCGAAAUCAUGUAUAAUGCAAGUGAUAUAAGCAUAAAAGCUAAGAUAAUAAAUAAUACAUUCAAGGAUAAAAGAAAUACUAGAAAUCAUAACAUAUAAUUAAUCAAGUCUUAUUCUAUUAUACCAUUGAGAAAAUAAAGGCUAUUCUUAAUUAAGAAAAACACCAAAAAGGGGGGGGUGUGAAUUAAGUUUUUAAAAUCUUUUCAAUCACAACCAAUUCAAGCACAAUAUAAGAAAAAUAAAGAGAUAGAGUUAGAGAAUUCAAACUCGGGUUUUAUAGUGGUUCGACACUUCCUUGCCUACGUCCACUCUCCUCAAUCUCCUAACCGAGUGAGGGUUCCACUAACUUGAAGUUUCAACCAAGCUUCCAAUCUUCUUACACUUGGAUUCCGGCUCCAAUGGGCUCUUACACAAUCUCUUCAAGAUUCAAACCUCUUGAAGACUUUAACACUCAGAUUUUACAAGAAAGAAUCCCUCAACCUAGCUUAAGGAUAGCUCAAAUACAAGACAAAACUAGAAUGACAUACAAGAGUGCACUAAAUGAUAUGCAAGUGAUGAUUUAAUACACUAAGAAAAAAAUGAGAGCUUUUUGGUCAAGAACAAGUAGGUAGACAAUUGAUUGCAAGUGUUCUCUUAUCAAUAAAUGAAGUGGAGCUUUCAAUUUGUAGGUUCCUAAGCUCGGGAGUUAAAAACAGCAAAAGGUAACCUCGACCGGUUAAGCUAGGGGUCGACUAGUUCACUAGCUGUUGGAACAUUUAAUACUUGAUAGGUUACCAUUGCUUUGACUGGUCCUCGACCGGACCUCGAUCGGGAAGAGAAGGUCAUUGGGAGAGAGAGAAAAUUUUUGUGCAUCCCUCGACUGGUCUUCGAUCGGACGAGGGCAACCAGUCGACCGGUUCCUUAACCGGUUGGCCAUAGCUUCGACGGGUUGAGCCUUUUGGCCUCGAAAACCUAUCUUUUUCAAUUCCUUUCUUUUCUAACACUAAGGCAAGGUCUUUAGGUGAAUUAUUAAGCCAAUUAUAAAACAUUUUGCCUGAGGUACAUUUGUUAAAAACUCGGGUUUUAAUGAAAUUGAAGUUUUAAAGAAUUAACCGAGUUUUCUAAGUUGCAUGAAACGUGUGAAAAUCCUAAGUGCACUCAUGCAUUCAUCUUACAUUAGUUUCCUAUGAUCAUAAGUCUUCCAAGCGUCUCGAUCUUGUAUCCAUUUGGUCAUUUGAUGAAUUUUCAAGUUUAUGCCUGAGAUUCUUAACCAUUAAACCAAUUAGUCACUUAAUCAUGGUUUGUUAUCAUUAAAACCCGAUUAGGAGAACCCUUGGGCUAACAACCAUGUUAUGCUUUCAUGGACUAUAUCCUAAUAGAACCAAGAAGGCUCAUUCAUAGUUUUUGGAUCAGCAAAGUACCUUUGAGAAUUUUGAUUUAGGAUGUUACCUUGAUGAGUUAUAGAAUUGUUGUUUUAGACCAAUGAACUUAAGAUCAAAUAUGUGAUAACAUUUUGUUAAUAUGUGACCUAGUUUGCCACACACUUGAAAAAAUGUUCAUUGUUGAUCUUGGGAUUCUUGCUUUCCUUAUGUUGUAAUUUCUUUGGAAAUUACUUUGCUUUGAUUAUUAUUGUAGUUUGCUUUUUUUAGCUACAUAAUUUGCUGAUGUUGUCAUAUAAAUGGAAACAAUAAUAUUUAAUUGCUCUAAAUGUAGUCUUGACUUUGUAAGAGGAAUUGCACUUGUUGUAAAGAGAUCUGUGAAAUCAUAUUCUGAUCCAAGAUCAACCUUCAAGCAUAUAGAGAGUCAAAUUAUCAUCUAAAAUCAUUUUUCCAAAAGCUAAGAGAGUACCAACUAUGUUUCACAUCUUAAGAAAAUAGUCAUUGAUGUUGAGAGAACCUUUCUUGAGAGAUUGCAACAUAUAAUGAAGUUAUAUGGUUCUUGCUUUGGAUUUUGAGAUGAAAAACCUUUGCAAAUGGAAAAGUUUCAAUGGAUGAGAUCAUAGCAAGGGUAGGAUUAGGUUGAUCGAUUGGAAUUGAUGUUACUCAAGAAGAUAUGAUACCAAGUUGAGAUAUAGAACAAUGUAGAAAAAUCUAAAAGACAUAAUUUAUGUGAAUGACUCAUAAAAAAAUGAAUGAAAGCUUCGGGUCUUUCAUAUAUAAAUAUUGAUUUAUAAAUAUAACAAUCUCUAAUAACAAACUCAUCAAUAAUAUAAUAGACUCAUGUUCUAACUGCAAGCUAACUAUACUUGAUAAUAAUAACGAGGAAUAAAGUGAGAGAGGGAGUACAAAGAUACUCGUUAAAGUGGGACAGCAGUUGGAGAAUAGAAAAUAAUCGUUAAGGAGGCAUUUUCUGAUAGAAUUUAAAGUGCUUAAUCUCUUUUAGAUCCAUUUUCUAAUGGAAUAUAAUGUAUGGAAAACAUUUUUUAAGAAAAGUUUUCAUACCUUAUGAAACGUUUGUUAGGAAAACGUAUUCCAUAAAAUGUUGAAAUGGCUUUGUAGCUAAAUUGGUUGAUUGAAAUCGUUUCCUUUAGAAAUAUCUUUUCGAUUGGGAAAUUUUAAGCUAGGUAAAUGGCUCAAAUUCCGAUACUUUUGUAUAUAUUUUUUAUGGUACUUAUAUAGAUGUCAAAACUCCCUAUCAUCAAGAAGUGAUUCCGUGGCACAAAAAACAGAAUUUCAAUAUUUUCAGAAAAUUUCUUGAAAAAUGCUGUCAAAUAUCAUUCAGUUCUCUAUAAGAAAAUAUUUUCGGGGUCCUUUAAGUUCCGAUUAAAUGGCAAAAGCUACUAAUGCUGCCAUGAAUGAUAAAGGUGAGGCCCAAGAGUUUGGAGAUGCUCCCUUUAAUUAUUAGCUUAAAGGGUUGAGGAUGAUGGAAAAAUAAGAAGAGUAAGAAGACCAAAAAGAUUUAACUACCAUAAAGAAUGCAGAUGAACAAUUAUGGAGGUAAAGUUAAAAUGUUGAUGAAAUUUAAGAGGCAAAAACCACAUUCCUAACAGAAUCAAAGUAAGUCCUGAACUUGAUACUGAUAAUAAUCGAGCUAAACAAUUCAACAGUUAUAUAUAUUGGAAGCACAGUUAAGCAAACAAGCAAAUAUUCUUCAAAAUGGUCCAAAGUGAAAGCAAGUAUCAUAGGUUUCCAGAAUACAAUGAAUUUCUUACAUGCCUUGGCUAAGUGUUCCAGCCCUUGGAGAUUCAGUCAUAGCUGUUAUUUUGCCAUUAAAGGUUACAUAUAUUACUAAUGAAACCACAUACAUAUCAUCACCAUACAAGGGCAUUUACCUGGUAAACAUUUUUCCAAGAGCAAUCAGUCAAGCAAACAAAUGUCAAAACUCAAAGCAUCCACCCAGGGAUAAAUCCAUUGACAUUUUGGGCAUUACUCGGAGCAGAUAGCUGGCUUGAGCCUGCAGGAUUAUAUCUUCAUCCCAUAAAAGAAAACUAAUUCAGCUAUGGUACUAAUAUUAAAAAGAGAAGAUGGAUUUCACCAAGUUAAAUGUUUACCCUAUUUGCAAUGUGGGAUUGCAUUCUAAAGGCUGGAAGAACCCCUGAGACUGAGCUUGCUGGUGGCCGUAUGGCAUACUCUGCUCACCACUUUCCCAUGAUAAUUGAAGGUGAUUUUUGACACUAAUUUCAUCCAGCUUCACAAAUAGAAAUCAAUACAGCAGACGUAAAAAGGUGGGAAACAGAAACAUAUCAGCUAGGGAUUGGAUUUGUUUUAAUAGAAGAAAGAUACCAUGGGUAGAAUCUUUGACAUGCUACCCACAUAAAUCAGUUUGACAAGACUUCAUAUGAAGAAAAAAUUGAACAGAGGAAACAUGUAAAGCAUGCAGACAAACGAACUUCUACUUAUUCAUGCAGCCAAAGGGCAAUGCAACGAGGUUUUGCACAUAUGAUGUAUUACCUUCCUCGUCAAAGCCUUGUUAGAUUCAACCAAAACUUGUUCCUGUGCUUGGCAAUAGCUUGCUAGUAUUAGAAGCAUAUAAAAUCUAUUCAUAGAUGAUUUGAAUUUCCAAAUGUAUGUACCAUCUAACCUUGUUCUGAAGAUCAGAAAGCUGAUCAAGCAUGAAUUGGGUCUGCAGUAGGUAGAUAAAAAAGAGUCAGAAUACUCUCUAAAAGAAUUAUCAUGAGGUCAUCUUACUGAAAAGUUGAUGGAAAAACAAUUUUUAUAGAAGCCAAAUCAUGUUCCAAGAACUAAAGACGAAAUGGGAGAAGUAAUCCCUGAAGUGUCUUACACAGCAUAGUACUGAAGCCUUCAAGGAUAAGCACAAUACACACAAUGUCACUCAUAGUAUUAGAUUACCUUUUAACUAAAUAAACUAGCAAUAUUUAUAAACAAGAUUCUGUGCUACAGAUGUAAAGGUCAACCCUUGUUUCAACCAAAAUACAUGAAUUUCCCUACGCUUACAUUGUUCAUAUUAGAAAGCAUCAAGACUCUAAAAUCUCCUUGAAAUUUUUACAGUUUGAGCAAACAAAAAAGGACAAUUCAGUAUUAUGUCUUGAGCAACCACGUUUAGAUGCCUCCCACACAUUCUGUAAAUUCCCAUAGCACACACAUUGUCUAGAGAUGCUCUAUGAGGGUUUCUAAAGAUGAGAAUUUCUUUAAACAGAAGCUACCCAUGGAUGAUAAAAUUAAAUAUUUUAAUCUUUGGAUUUCUCUUGGCAUCUCUAAAACAUAAUUUGUUAUGUUCAAUGAGAUACCUAUCCAAAACAUUAUUUGAGGAGCAUUUUCCACAAUAACAACUUUGCAGGGUUGUUUAAUUCAUAGUUCUUAUAUGCAAAUUUGGCUUCGCUAAAAACCUGAUUUUGUCAUCACUUUCUUAAACAUAGAAAAUAAUUUAUUUCUGGGCAGAAAAUAAAAAAGAAAAAGGAAAAAGGAAAGGGUACACAUAUAUUUUGAUUUUAAUUGGAGAGGCAGGUUAAGGAUUUUAAGUUCACUUAGCAACUGCUAGUAACUUCUAUAAUGAUUGAUUUAAAUCAUGGGACAUCUAUAACUUGAUUAGACCACAAAAGCAAUCUCAAUCCCAUACAUCACCUCCCCCAAUGGAAAAAGUCACACUCCCUAUUAGUGAAGAAGGAAAAAGGGAUGUAAUCCAAUAACUGAUAUUGAAUCUUCCAAUUUGAAGAUAAAAGGUUUCAAUAUCUAAAACUCAUUCUCCUUCUAAGUGCUGAUUUCCUGCAUUCAAAGUUACCAAAAUCCCUGACCAGCCAGUCGUGAUAUGAGAACCCAAUACUUCAACUAGACUCGGAUAUGGAGGAUUUCUAAAGAAGAAGUUUAGUUUCUCUCAACCAACACAAAGUGCAGACCUACAUUUACAAAAAAUUUAAGACCAACAGUACUAUGAUAGCAUCACAGUUGUCAAUAAUCCUAAUCCCCUUCAAAGAGUUCGAGCCCCACCCAGCCUUCUUUUCUGUUUAGUUUUCAACUUAGGAAGCCUGAAACAUAUGCAUCAUCAGACAAUAAUUUUAUACAUUAUCAACAUAAUACUAAUUCAAAUUAGUAUCACAAUUACUUCAGCACUUAUGGUAAAUACACUCUUUUUUAAAGAAAAAUUGGUUACCUUAGUAGACCUGACUUGCUUCAAGGAUGUCUCAAGUUGACGUUCAAGCUGCUCAAGCUCUUUUGUGUUCAAUGGACCCAAGUCUUCCCCAAGAAGGUUUCUAGAAUAUUCAGGGUCAAAUAUUUCAUGAAUAAAGUCAGGUUGUUGCAUAAGAUAUCUCCGUAAUUGAAUGAAAACAAUUAUCCAACUCAGAAAUUUCAGAAGCAGAAUUCAAAAAAGCCACAACUAAGGUACUUAAUCACCUCUGAGUUCGUUGAAGGGACUCAAACUUAGAUUUCAGUUUCAGGUACUCCCUAUAGCUGCUCUGCUGAAGACAACUAAACUAAAUGAAUAAUCAUAAACCACAGGAGAGUUGAAAUUGGAAUAGAAACAUGGUGCAACUCUGAAACAGAAGGCUAUACAGUCUCAGGCUGUGCAUCAACUUGCACUUGUAAAAGUACCCAUUAUUCUCUCAUAAGUUUUCUUUCAUGCCACAUCUCUUGGAAUGGAAGAGUUGGCAAAAAAUUUUAGUUGAAGAUUAUACCUGCAUAACUGUUUUCAAAUUCUUUGGUGUGCUAAUAAAUUUGUUGCCUUGUAUAGCAGGUACUAAGAGAAAUCAUUCUCAAUUAACAGAAACAACAUAAUAAUUAAACCACCUCAAGCUCCUUGGAGGGUCGGCUGACUUCCACUGCACCAUAACUGCAUUUUUGGUAUCUUUCGAGUGUCUUGAGCAUGCUAACAUAAGAUGAAGGCAAAGGAAAAAAAAGAGAUCCCAUUAUAGAACCGAACAUGAACAUAAAAUAAUGAAACUUGUACUAAAAAAAUUGAAACCUGGUCAUCUUAUAAAUAAACAGCAUACUAUAAUCCAAUCUCCUAAGCUCACUUAAGUCACAAAAUUUCACCAGCUCAAAUAAGCAACACAACGUCUUGGAUUAUCUUACAAACCAAGUAGAAAUCAAUAAAACACUGUCAGUCCACAUUGGUGUGUACAAGGACUGAACUUCAUGUCUGGCAGAUAAUUGCAAGUUUGUCAUAGAACACUGUCCUUGAGUGCAAGGGCAGCCCAUUCUGUGGUCCAAGCCCAGAGAACGUAAUGUGAAGUCAGAAAGUACAGCUAACGAGCUGAUUAAUCACAAAGGAAAAUGUUUCAAUUGUAGGCAUAUUGGCCUCCAAAGGGACACAACAUCAUACAUUUGUCGACUGUCAUUAAGCUGCCAAACUGACAGAAUCAUAGACCAAAUGGUUAAAUACGCAAAUUUUAGGACUGCAACAAGAUAAGGCUGGUUUUUGUUUUAGAGAUCGGCUAAGAAAAGCUUAAGGAGAUGUACUAUUAGUUUCUACAUUCCUGUGUACACAGGUAAGGAAUAAUUACCUCUUUCUACAAAAGAAAAAAUGAAAUACAACAGAAAGGGCAACAAAAACAAAAACACGUCAAAAAAAACUAACAUGGUUUAGGUACCUUCACCUGUGUACAACCUGACUCAUAAAAAAAAGGUUAAAAAUAAUAAAUAAAUGAGAAGUUUAGUGUUUAAUCACACUUUUUUUUUUGUUUCCAAAUGAUCGUUGGUUUCUCUCCUACCAUAAAAUUCAAAAAACCCACAAUGGGGUAGGCAUUCAGACCUUCCAUUUUUUUUCCACAAAAGAACUAUGCACCCUAAAACUGUUUCUCUUACCAAAGUUGUCAUUACCACGCAACCUUAAACAAGGAAAAUACCAAAUUCCAUACCACCCUAACUUUGGUGCAAUGCAAAAGGAUAUGAUCUGAGUAUUCAUCCUUCUUAUAAAGAAAACAUUGGUUCACCAAAUACUAUCCUCUCCUUUGCAACCGAUCAAAAGUCUAAACCUUUCUCCUAGAAGCUUUCUAUGUAAAAGAAAACCCUACUUUGGUCGGCACCAUCAAAUUCCAAAUAACCCUCCUUAGGAACACUUCUGCCCUCCCCACAAAAAUAUAAAAGGAUCUAACAGAAAAUUUACCCUUCCUCGCAUUCAUCCAAUCAUUUAGAUUUCUUGAAAAGCGAAGGUCGCAAAGUCCUCCAUCACCCUAUCAACACCAAACAUCCUCCACCCAAGUAUCUUUUGUCAACGCUAUUGAAAACAAAGUAGAGUGACUCUCUUAGAGUAGAAUCAGCAUACCAUUUAUCUUUCUAAAACUUCACCUUUCUACCAUUGCUCACAAUAAAUGAGUUUAUGCUAUCAAAAUUCCCCCAAUCUCUCUUGACGGCCUUCCACAAUCCCGCAUCAACACUUUUAAGCAGUUAUGUGGUUCUUUUCAUCUCUUAAUUCUUAGGACUUCUUUACUGUAUAAUUUUGAAAAAAAAAAAAAAACCGAAAAUAACUAAAUUACUUGAAAUUGAUAAAUAAGUUACCUGAGGUAAGAAUAACUUGGGUGACAAUUGCAUAUCAGUAUAUGAUACCUUAUCUUAUAUAUUUAAAACAAUUAUUAGACUAGAUCACUUCUUACUGUCUAAAGAAUGAGAAUAAUUUCAGUGAUCUAACAUAGAGUAUUUUUCCAAGACUGGUUUAUUAUCACACUCUCAUUUUAUUAGAUGGGUUUGGGUUGAGGAAAAGUAAAAUGUCUUUUAGGUUCAAAACUAUGUGACUGAAAAAAUAAGGGUUCAAAGACCAAAUUAGAAAUUUAGUAGUUCAUAUAAGUUACAUCUUAGCAACUAAGCUGAAAGCUUUGAAGCGUGAUCUUAAAGCUUAGAAUAGAGAGGUAUUUGGGAAUGUCACUACUAAUAAAAUUGUAGUUUUGAAUCAGAUUGGUUUUUAGGGAAUAAAGGAAAGGGUAACUAUUCAUUUAGACAAGGAGAAUGAGAUCAAAAGGAAGGUAAUGGAGGAGUAUUGCAAUUGGGUAGCAAUGGAAAAAGUCCUAUGGAGAUAAAAAUCAAGAGAAUUAUGACCUAAAGAAGGAAAUAAAAACACAAAGUUCUUCCAUAAAAUAGUCAUUGCUCAUAGAAGAAGGAAUCAUUUGAUUAAAAUCAAGGUAAAUGGUGUAUUGUUGUCUAAGGAUGUAAACAUAAAGAAAGGGGUGGUGAAUGCUUUUCAUAACCUUUUUUCUGAGUCAAAAAGUGAUUGGAGACCAACAUCAAUGAAAUGGUUUUUGAAAAUUGGGUAUGAUGACUUAGGACAUUUGAAGACCCCAUUUUCUGAGGAAGAGAUCCUUUUAACACUCUAGUUUGUAUGUGAAUAAAACCUUAAGAUGGAUGACUUAUCUCUGGUCUCUUGGCAAUUCAAUUAGGACUUCAUCAAUAGUAAAGUGAUGGGCUUUUUUAGGGAGCUCUAUGAGUUUGGGCUCUUAUGAGAGAAGUUUAGAGGGUUUUUUCUUAUAUUUUUAUAAUUUCUAAUUAAUUUUAGGUUCGCUGAUAUUUUUAUAGUGUUAGUCCUAAAAAAAGGGGUAGUAAAGACUUAAAAGGGGGAAAAUAAAUUUGGUGAGUGAUACAAGCUUCUAUAAAAGUCCCAGCAAACAAACUCAAAAAAGUGGUAUCUGCUUUCCAACAUGCGUUAAUGUUAGAUUAACAAAUUUUGGAUAUAGUUCUUAUAACAAAUGAAGCCAUUCACUCUAGGAUGAAAAGCAUCGAUGGUUGGUUCAUAUGAAAGCUAGAUAUUGAGAAGGGUUUUGAUUUUGUCAACUAGGAUUUUUAUUAGCAAUUUCGGAAAAUGUGGGUCUUGGUCAUGAGCCGAUAAGUUGGACAUAGUGGUGUAUCUUUACAACUCAAUUCUUUAUUUUAGUUAAUGGAACCCUAACAAGCUUCUUUCAAAAUAGUAGAGGCUUGAGAAAGGGUAAUCCUUUAUCCCUGUAUAUCAACAUCUCAACCAUGGAAGCACACUUUGCUAUCUAAAAGGCAAAAAGAAGCAGGUUUCAUCACAAAUUUGUUAGUUGGUGAAAGAAAAGGAGAAAGAAUAAAGGUGUCUUAUCUCUUGUUUAUUGAUGAUACUCUUAUUAUUUGUGAUAGCACAAAGGAAUAAAUAGAAUACUUAAGUCAAGCAUUCAUGCGGUUUAAGGCUAUCUUGGGCCUAAAGGUCAAUUCAAAGAAAACUAAGUUGAUUCUUGUUGAGAGGGUUGUCAACUUGGAAGAUUUGUUUAUGGUUUUAGGCUAUAACCUCAAAACUCUCCCCAUCAGAUAUUUGAGACUUAUGUUGGAAGCUGCUUUCAAUUGAACUCGAGUUUGGGAUGUAGUAAAAGAGAGAUUUUAGAAAUGACUUGCUAUAUGAAAAAAAAAAAAAAACAAAUAUCUAUCAAAAGAAGGAAGGUUGACUCUUAAAAAGCAUCCUUUCUAGCUUGCCAAUUUACUUUAUGUCUCUCUUUUUCAUAUGGAGGAAGGUUAGUUUAAGGUUGGAAAAGAUUCAAUGGAAUUGAAGUGGAAUGAGACUUUUCAACUUGAACCCAACCUAAUGUUUGAAAAUUAAAACUUGUCAAUUGGUCAUUGUAGAAUUUGAUUAGCUUAAGUUGUAGGGUAUUGGAAAGUAUCUCAAAUCACUAAUUGGUAUAUGUAACCUUUUGUGUAUGGAUUGAGAUGGAGAUGUAAAGUUCAUAACAAAUAAGGAUGUGAGGAAGAGUAAUAGAUAAUUGGUAGAGCAAAAGCUCAAGGUGUAGCUACAAAGAACGGGAAACAUGAGAUGUUUCAAGGCUUAAUGAUUGCAUUGUCAUUUUUUUUAAUCCUAUAAUUUUUUUUUAUAUACCUUUAUAUGUGGAUUGUUUCAUCCUUGUAUUUUUGCAUUAGUAUAUUAAUUAACAUUAAAACUUCUAUUUGCACAACAAGUUGUAUCAAAGCUUUCAUUAGCACAAUAAAUGACAUUAGAGCAUUAGUUGAGAUUUCUAGAAGAAUAAAAAAGAACAAAACAUAUAAAAGAAUUACAAAAGGAAAUUUGGUUUAAGAUUGAGUCAAUUUUCCCUCAUUGGAAUGUGAUAAAUGAAGCAUGUACUUUAUUAUUUUAUUUUAUUUUUUAUAAAUAAAAGAGAUAAAAUUACAUUGAAAAGAGCCGCCAAAACAAUAACUCAAAGUAUAUAAAGUAGAAACACCUCUCCCUUCCCCAACUAGAACAAAUAGUUGUCAAACACAAAGGAGUAAAAAAAACCUCACCCUUAACGAGAACCCACCCAAUCAAAGAAACCAACUAAAGUCGAAGGACCAUAUUUUAUAAACAAUUUCAUCUCCAACCAGUGAAAGAAAAUAAAAGAACUCUCAAGUCUUUGGAUGGACAACACAUCAUCUUUAAAUACAAUUUUGUUACUUGCCUUUCAAAUCGUCCAAAAAAUACAUAAGGGUCUACUCUCCAAACUUUUUUUUUUUUUUUUCCCACAAAGGACCUGUCCCAGCCCAAAAACGUCACCUUAACUGUGGCUAGCAUCACCCAUUGUACCCCAAAGAGAGAGAAAAACAACACCCAUAAAGUCCUUAUCUUAGUACAAUGGAGGAGGAUGUGAUCUAUCGAUUCUUCAUGCAUUUAGCAGAGGUAGCAUCUAUUCGUUAAAAGUCAUCCUCUUUUCUAAAGUUGGUCCAAAGUAAGAGUUUUUCCCCACAUUGCUUCCCACCUAAAAAAACUCACUUUGGGCACACAAGCUUUCCAAAUAACAUUCGAUGGAAAAGAGACUGGAGGACCUAAAACUAAGGCUUUAUAGAGAGACUUAACGGAAAACUUCCCACAUUUGAUCUUUAUCCAAAGCACCCUAUCUUCCACAUUCCGUUGAACACUCUUUCCAUUGAGGCUCAAUAAAAACCUAUGCACCUCAUCCACCUCCCAAUCAUUGAAAGAUCUAGAUAAUUGUAGGCUCCAACUCUCAUUUCCCUUAGUGGAACCAGUGGAACUCCACACAUAUUUCACCAAGCAUCCUUGGAAAAUGUGCAACCCCACACCAUCUAUCCUUCCAAAAUUUCACCCUUUGACCAUUACCCACCACAAAAGAAAAUCUACCACUUACAACAUGCCACUACUUCCUAAUUGCUUUCCACAACCCCACACCAUACCCAUAUCUCACUUCUUUGGGACACUAACCCCUUUGCUCAUCCCCAUACUUUCCCUUUAUCACUUAAUUCCAAAAGACUCCUCUCUCAUUUGCAAAUCUCCAACUCCAUUUGCACAAAAGCGUCUUAUUUAGAGUAAAGAGAUACUUUAUCCCCAACCCCUCUUUGUUUUUGUCUAAGCAAAGCAACAUCCACCUAACAAGAUGAAGUUUCUGCUCAAGAGUCCCACCUCCCCAUUAAAAAUCCCUCUGAAUCUACUUUAACCUCAAUUUGAUUGUCCUAGGUAAAGAAAACACAAACAUGAAAUAAAUGGGCAAGCUAACCAAAGUGCUUCGAAUCAAGGUGAUCUUCCUUCAUUUGGAGAUGUAUUGUACUUUAUUAUUUGAAAUAAGUAUGUUUGUUUUAUAUGUUUAUUGCAUCUUGAAAAGAGGAAACAGUCAAGUGAAUAAAUAGUUUGAAUACAUGGAGAUCUACUACAAUGCAACUAUGACACAUAAAGAAGCUAUUGUGUAAGGAUUUGGCUAGAAAGUUCCAAAUAGAGUAAAUGUCAUGAUUUCUUUGAUAGUAACAUAUAAGCGAUAGAAUAUUGACUUGAUGAAAUUUGAUCCAAGAUGAGAUUGUUGAAAAAUAUUUCAAAUUCCUAGUCGAUAUAUAUUUCUUUUUUGUAAAGAAUAUUAUAUAGAUUAUUUAUUAUAUUGAUGUGUCAUUAUAAUAUUAUAUUUCCAUAUAAAAUAAAGAAUGGUAUUUGAAAUAUCUCUAUAAAUAUUCUAGGAGAAAAAGUUGUAAGUAUGAAGUUUAUAUUGAGUAGAUAGAGAUAUGAGGAAUAGUAGGAGACAUUUACUAACAGUUUAAGGUGAAAAUACCAGAAGUGGAGAAAUAUGAGAUAUUUUAAACGCUAUGAUUAUAUUUGCAUUUUCUGGUCCUCUAUAAUAUUCUCCAUUGUAUAAUGAAAUAUUUUUUUUUCUCAAUCAUGGAUAUAAGUAUGGUUGGUCAAACCACAUUAAAACCUAAGUACCUUUAUGUGAAGAUUGUUUUAUCUUUAUUUUAUGACAUUAAUAUGAUAGGAUUGAAGCUUCUAUUUGUACAAGUGAUAUCAAAGCUUUUUUUUAACACAACAUUAACUUUAAAGUGCAGUUUCAAGUGUUACUAUGAGUUUUACCCUUCAUUGAUAGAUAUGUUUUUAUCAUAAACAAAAAAUGUAUUAAUUAUAGAUAACAAGUACAUGAAAAGGAUGAGGAGUCCUCUCCACAAUUUCAAAAACAAGAUCAACAUAUGACUAAACUCCAUUAUACAAGGAGACUUGUACAAAAAAGUUUUGGUCAUAUAAGAAUAUACAUAAAUGUCUUCUCUUCAAAAACAAACUAACCUCCUCUCAAUAUUGUCCAAAUGCCAAUUAAGUUGAACAAUAUUAAGAGGAAUGUCUUAAAAGUGUUGGUACAAAAGGCCUAGAAAGAGGGAUAGAAGGUAAAUUGAUCUCACAAAAUCUUUAACAUCCUCUAAUUAUUCUUAAAGAUUCUAUCAUUUCUCUCUAGUACACAAUCCAAAGCAAUAUCAAACAAAUAAUUUGCCAAAAGAUAUUAUCUCUAAUGGAGCUUCUCAAACUCUUAUAUGAAGUAAUUAUCAUGUCACAUAGACUCCUAGAUGGAACCUAAUCCACAUUAGCUUGUUUAAAUAAACUAUACAUAGCCUUAAAGUUAAAAGAUAAUGUAGAAAGAGGUGGUCAAUUAUCUCUUCACUCCCUAUAUAUAAAAUGCAAUAAUCAAGACUAAGGGAUUUGAAAAGUCUUCUCAACUUAUACCAUAUCAUUGGUAUUUACCUUUUAAUGUGUCACUAGUCAAAUGAAGGCCUUGACUUUUUAUGACACUUUAGAUUUCUAUAAAAAUUUGGUUAGGGAGAAAGAAAUUAGAUCUGAUACAUUGGAAAAAAAAAACCCAUGAAAAAUGAUUUUACUAAGAAUAAACCUCAAGAGGAUAAUGAACAAGCUCUUGCUUGAAGAUAAGUAUAGCACAUGAGUGAGAGAGAAUAUAAGUCUUUUAAGAUCCACAAUCUCCAUACGAAUGAGGUUAUGACAGAAAUUAAGGUUCCUAGAAAAAAAAAAUAGUUGCCAAGAAUAGUUGAUAUGAUAAGAUUUAUAACUAUGAAAACUAUGUAAAGACUUGAAAAUUGUGAAUACAAAAGGUGAUGCUCCACAACAAAUCUUCUUAAAAAUGAAUUCUCACUUACAAAGAAUAGUUGUUAGAUAUAUGACACAUGUUUUACUACAUGAUUUAGGAUACAAUCCUCUACAAAUGAACAAAAUAUUUAUUAAAUCAAAGGCAUGAAUUAGUAUGUUAAGGAAAUGAAUGUAAGCUUGCUCAAGGAAAUGUCUAUGAAGUGUUGUAGUUGAACAAGAAGUUAAAAAAAUGUAAUAUGUUAACCUACCAAUUUUACUCUAGAGGUUAAGGCUAGCAGAUAUUAGGGGAAUAGUAUCUAGGCAAAUAGUAUAUACUAGGUAAACACUCCUUGAUAUAGGUGGCCUCGUAUGGUCAAUAAUAUAUACUAGGUAAACACUAACUAAUAUACAUGGCCUCGUAUGGUCAUACCCAUCUGUGGAGAGGCAAUUCUAGUUAAGCAAAACUCUCAUACCAUGUUAACUAAAUAAUUUGACCCAAAAUGACUAGACUAUUAAGAAAUGGGUUAACAUUCUAUACUAGACUAAUACUAUCUAGUGGAACAAUACAUCUUUCAUUGUUGUAUCGAAACAUGUUCUUGAUUGCUAUGUUGUUAACCUACCAAUUUUACUCCAAAGGUUAAGGUGACAAAUAAUAGGGGAAUAGUAUCUAGGCAAAUAGUAUAUACUAGGUAAACACUCCCUGAUAUGUGUGGCCUCAUAUGAUCAAUAAUAUAUACUAGGUAAACACUCAUUGAUAUGUGUGGCCUCGUAUGGUCAUACCCAUAUGUAAAGAGGCAAUUCUAGUUAAUCAGAACUCUUAUACUAUAUUAAUUAAAUAAUUUACCCAAAAUGACUAGAUUGUUAAGCAAUGAGUUAACAUUCUAUAUUGUACUAAUAAUAUCUAGUAAAAGAGUACAUCUUUCAUUUUUGUAUCAAAAUAUGUUGUUGAGUGCUAUGGAUUGGAAAUCUCUUGAACUUAGUUUUGUUGAACUACCAACUUUACUUACCUAAAAGCCUCUUAACACCCCUCACAUUCCACCUCAUAUCCGCAUAUGGAGAGACAUAGAAAGAUAGAAGAGAAUAUCCACACAUGGAGAUACAUAGAAAGAUAGAGGAGAGAGAGAUAAACAAAUGCAAAUAACCAUUUUUGGAUUUACAAACAUGCAAAUUGUAGAGAGGUGACUCAAACACAUAGCCUUCACUCAAAUCAAAAUUUACUAUCAGGUUGAACUACCAACUUUCUUAAAAGUUUAAACUUGCAAGAUUUGGAUUCAUUAUGUAUAUCAGAACUUGUUUUUAAAUGGACUAAAAUUGAGAUUGAUUGUGGGAUUGUAAUAAUGAUUUAUUUGAUAAUUAGGAAAUAAAACCUCAUGCAUCAAGGUAGAAAGUCCACCCUUUUUUUGGUUUGGUCUCAUUUGUGAGACAACUAAUUUAUAUACUUCAUGUUAUACUUGGUAUAUUUAUUGGAAAGUUUCUUAAAUUUAUAUUUCAAGUAUAUUUUUUAAAAAGAAUAUUAUAAAUAAUAUUUAUAUAUAUUAGUGUUUCCUUUGACAAAAAAAAUAUUAUGCAUAAUAUUUAAUAUAUUAAUAUUUUCUUGUAAAAAAAUUAUUUUUUUACUUUAUAAGGAAAGUUUUCAAAAAAAUUAUAAGAAUUAAGAUGAAUUUGAUGAAGAGUACUAAAUGUGAGAGGUAAAGAUGUAACGAAGAGUAGGAGAGACAUGAUGGAACAAGGCUCCUAUUCAUGCUGUUUUACAAGUGGGGAAAAAUUAAUAGACAUUGGAAGGUCUCAUCUAGCGGGAGCUCGAAGGAUUUACAAGCAAAACCUAACAUAGAUACCAUAAAUAUCAAGGUAGGAUGUUAUGAUGAAAUAAGAGAAUUAACAUCGUACGAUGCCAGCCCCUCGUCCCCUUGUAAAUAAACUCUGUGAUGAAAUACAUGAUCCUGUCAGAGUUGGAUUUAAUGAAUUAUGAGGUACACCAUGGUCUUUUGACCCUUAGAGCAUCUCUUACAACAGUGAUAAAAUAACAACAUCAAAAUUAUUUUAAUUUUUUUAAUAUAAAUGAUAAAAUAACAACGUCAAAUUGUAGUACAUUACUUCGAUGUAUAAUGCUAAAGAUGAAAUGUCAACGGAAAUUGGCAUCCAUCCCAAUGGUGCUGUUAGAUUAGAUCCUGGACUUAUUUUGAAAAAACCUUUGCAAUUCUUAGUAUUUGGAGUGCCUGAUAUUGGUGAAAUUUCGAGAGAAAAUGGGACCAAUACAUUACUAGGAGGAGACAUAUCAAAAGGCACAUUAAAUCUCAGCUGUGAGGACUUCAAGGUAUAAUAUUUUAUGGGUUAGUGUAAUUACAUAAAGAUAAAGUCAUCACACACAAACAUGAGAAUUUAACAUAACCAAUCAGAAAGAAAAUUAGUUCUCCUAAUUUGAUUUCCAAUAGACUUUUAUAACCUUAUAAACGUUAUAAAAUGAAACAAAAAAAUAUUAUUCAUAUAUUUUUUGUCUCAAAUUAUUAAUAUUCAAAGCCCUUCUAAAAAUGUAAUAAUAAUCAUACACACAAAAAAAAAAAAAUGAUGUCUUUAAAAUAAAUUUCCCUAGCAAUGGAUAUUUCUCAAAAGGACUACUAGAAAUUGCAGUUGCACCAACCAGGCCUCGUGUUGGUCAAAGACAUCUAGUAGGAAUUAAAAUAAUGUUUUCAAGGAGUGCUUCCAAAAAACAUCUUGAGAGGAUAUUUCUAGAAAUUUUAAAAUAAUGUUUUUCAUGCACUCUGAUGAAUGAAAAUAAUAAAAGUGAAUGUCAGAGCAAAAUUUUUGGAAAAGUAAUUUUCAUUUUAGAUAUCAAACACUAUAAUAUAUUAAAUUGAGGAUUGUCAUACGUCUCAAUGAGGGAGGCUCUUUGUUGAAGUUAUCCAAUAACAAAUACGGAAAGCUUUAAUCAUGAAAUUCUAAGACACUCUAGUUUGAAGUCAAUUCACGUGAGCAUGCUCCUAGACUUUGCAUCCGAAUCAACGAACAAGAUAUUUUAUUACCACGGCACUGUGAGUCUAUUCACAUGAUUAAUAGAUAUCUUGCUCUCUCAUGUCUCAACCUUCCACUCCAUUCAACCAAGUUGGCAGUACAGUACAUGUAUAUAAACUUGUGCAUGUCCAUGGAAAUCAUGUAUAAAUUACUAGCAAUAAACUAGAGAAAAUAAUUCAGGCCACUUCUUCACAAAGACAGAAGUGAGUACAAAAUAGUUAGACAUGGAUUUCAUUCUUUUUCUUCAGAAAACAGUAGUGACCAUGAUAAGUACUUGACAUGUUCUGUGAAAUGAUUGGGUUGCUUUCUGAUUCACCAGGGAUUUGUUAAUAACUGUUACAUUAUUAAUGGGGGGUUAACAGACAUUAGACAAUUAUUCAUAACUAGAAAAUGCAUAUAAAAGAGAAAAUAUACAUCACCACUCUUCUCCUGAAACAUGUCUGAUAGAAAACAAUCAAGAAAUUCUGAACUAGAAGGCUACAUAUAACAUUUUUCAAUGUUAGAUACUUGUUCUAUUCUUCUCAUAUAUGUUAAAAUUUCUUUACUUAAUUAUGUGUACUGAAUUGGCUUAGUGUUGAUACACCAAUUAGAUCAAACCCUUAAAACUUUAUCCAAAAAGAAAAAAAAUUGAAGAAGAAAAAUGGUCCCUAGGAUCCUACCAAAGGAAGGUGCCCAACUCCUGCAUUCUUU